GACAUGGGUGUGGCUCGUAUCACCUGAUGACCAAACGGAUCUACGGCACCGUCGAAUCUCAAAUUUAACUGCCAAAACUAUUAUUUUUCAUCCUGUAGUCCCUUUUAGAAUUACUAAACGUCCUUUUUUGGGCCGAGAUUUCCAGGAACGCUUUCGCGCGGUUUGUGUGCAAGUAUUUCAAAUCAUACGGACCUAAAAAUUAGAUGUCAUUCCAUCUUUAUUCCCCUAGAGCCUUCCAGCACUUCCUAAACCGCUCCAGUCGGAGCACGUUAUCAUUCUUGUUAGUUCCGAGUGAAUUCCCUUGGUAUGAUCAUUCUUUCAUCAGUUUGUUCUCCAUUUCUUCUCUAGUCUGAGCCUAGCACACUACUCUAGCUAGACAUGGGUGUGGCUCAUAAGACCUCAUGACCAAACGGGUCUACGGCACCAUCAAAUCUCAAACUUUAACUGCUAAAACUAUUGUUUUUCAUUCUGUAGUCCCUUUUAGAAUUACUAAACAUCCUUUUUUGGGCCGAGAUUUCCAGGAACGCUUUCUCGGGGUUUGUGUGCAUGUAUUUCAAAUCAUACAGACCUAGAAAUUAGAAGUCAUUCCAUCUUUAUUCCCCUAGAGCCUUCCAGCAGUUCCUAAACCGCUCCAGUCAGAGCAUGUUAUCAUUCUUGGUAGUUCUGAGUGAAUUCCCUCGGUAUGAUCAUUCUUUCAUCAGUUUGUUCCCCGUUUCUUCUCUAGCCCGAGCCUAACACACUAUUCUAGCUAGACAUGUGUGUGGCUCGUAACACCUGAUGACCAAACGGAUCUACGGCACCGUCGAAUCUCAAACUUUAUCUGCCAAAACUAUUGUUUUUCAUCUUGUAGUCCCUUUUAGAAUUACUAAACGUCCUUUUUUGGGCCGAGAUUUCCAGGAAUGCUUUCUCGGGGUUUGUUUGCAUGUAUUCCAAACCAUACAGACCUAAAAAAUUAGAAGUCAUUCCAUAUUUAUUCCCCUAUAGCCUUCCAGCAGUUUGUAAACCGCUCCAGUCGGAGCAUGUUAUCAUUCUUGUUAGUUCUGAGUGAAUUCCCUCGGUAUGAUCAUUCUUUCAUCAGUUUGUUCCCUGUUUCUUCUCUAGCCUGAGCCUGACACACUAUUCUAGCUAGACAUGGGUGUGGCUCAUGACACCUGAUGACCAAACGGAUCUACGGCACCGUCGAAUCUCAAACUUUAACUACCAAAACUAUUGUUUUUCAUUCUGUUGCCCCUUUUAAAUUACAAAACGUCAUUUUUUGGGCCGAGAUUUCCAGGAACGCUUUCUCGGGGUUUGUGUGCAUGUAUUUCAAGUCAUACGAACCUAAAAAUUAGAAUACAUUCCAUCUUUAUUCCCCUAGAGCCUUCCAGCAGUUCCUAAACCGCUCCAGUCAGAGCACGUUAUCAUUCUUGUUAGUUCUCAGGGAAUUCCCUCGGUAAGACCAUUCUUUCAUCAGUUUGUUCCCCGUUUCUUCUCUAGCCUGUGCCUAGCACACUAUUCUAGCUACACAUGGGUGUGGCUCGUAACACGUGAUGACCAAACGGAUCUACGACACCGUCGAAUCUCAAACUUUAACUGCCAAAACUAUUGUUUUUCAUCCUGUAGUCCCUUGUAGAAUUACUAAACGUCCUUUUUUGGGCCGAGAUUUCGAGGAACGCUAUGUUGGGGUUUGUGUGCACGUAUUUCAAACCAUACAGACCUAAAAAUUAGAAGUCAUUCCAUCUUUGUUCCCCUAGAGCCUUCCAGCAGUUCCUAAACCGCUCUAGUUGGAGCACGUUAUCAUUCUUGUUAGUUCUGAGCAAAUUCCCUCGGUAUGAUCAUUCUUUCAUCAGUUUAUUCCCUGUUUCUUCUCUAGUUUGAGCCUAGCACACUAUUCUAGCUACUAAUGGGUGUGGAUCGUAACACCUGAUGACCAAACGGAUCUACGGCACCGUCGAAUCUCAAACUUUAACUGCCAAAACUACUGUUUUUCAUUCCGUAGUCCCUUUUAAAUUACUAAACGUCAUUUUUUGGGCAGAGAUAUCCAGGAACGCUUUCUCGGGGUUUGUGUGCACGUAUUUCAAAUCAUACGGACCUAAAAAAUAGAUUCCAUUCCAUCUUUAUUCCCCUCGAGCUUUCCAGCAGUUCCUAAACCGCUCCAGUCGGAGCACGUUAUCAUUAUUGUUAGUUCUGAGUGAGUUCCCUCGGUAGGAUCAUUCUUUCAUCAGUUUGUUCCCCGUUUCUUCUCUAGUCUGAGCCUAACACACUAUUCUAGCUAGACAUGGGCAUGGAUCAUAACACCUGAUGACCAAACGGAUCUACGGCACCGUCGAAUCUCAAACUUUAACUGCGAAAACUAUUGUUUUUCAUCCUGUAGUCCCUUUUAGAAUUACUAAACGUCCUUUUUGGGCCGAGAUUUCCAGGAACGCUUUCUCAGGGUUUGUGUGCGUGUAUUUCAAACCAUACGGACCUAAAAAUUAGAAUUCAUUCCAUCUUUAUUUCCCUAGAGCCUUCCAGCAGUUCCUAAACCGCUCCAGUCGGAGCACGUUAUCAUUCUUGUUAGUUCUGAGCGAAUUCCCUCGGUAUGAUCAUUCUUUCAUCAGUUUGUUCCCCGUUUCUUCUCUAGUCUGAGCCUAACACACGAUUCUAGCUAGACAUGGGUGUGGCUCGUAUCACCUGAUGACCAAACAGAUCUACGGCACCGUCGAAUCUCAAAUUUAACUGCCAAAACUAUUAUUUUUCAUCCUGUAGUCCCUUUUAGAAUUACUAAACGUCCUUUUUUUGGCCGAGAUUUCCAGGAACGCUUUCGCCCAGUUUGUGUGCAAGUAUUUCAAAUCAUACGGACCUAAAAAUUAGAUGUCAUUCCAUCUUUAUUCCCCUAGAGCCUUCCAGCACUUCCUAAACCGCUCUAGUUGGAGCACGUUAUCAUUCUUGUUAGUUCUGAGUGAAUUCCCUUGGUAUAAUCAUUCUUUCAUCAGUUUGUUCUCCAUUUCUUCUGUAGUCUGAACCAAGCACACUACUCUAGCUAGACAAGGGUGUGGCUCAUAACACCUCAUGACCAAACGGGUCUACGGCACCAUCAAAUUUCAAACUUUAACUGCCAAUACUAUUGUUUUUCAUUCUGUAUUCCCUUUUAGAAUUACUAAACGUCCUUUUUUGGGCCGAGAUUUCUAGGAACGCUUUCUCGGGGUUUGUGUGCACGUAUUUCAAAUCAUACGGACCUAAAAAUUAGAAGUCAUUCCAUCUUUAUUCCCCUAGAGCCUUCCAGCCGUUCCUAAACCGCUCCAGUCGAAGCACGUUAUCAUUAUUGUUAGUUGUCAGUGAAUUCCCUCAGUAUGAUCAUUCUUUCAUCAGUUUGUUCCCUGUUUCUUCUCUAGUCUGAGCUUAACACACUAUUCUAGCUAGACAUGGGUGUGGCUCGUAACACCCGAUGACCAAACGGAUCUACGGCACCGUCGAAUCUCAAACUUUAACUGCGAAAACUAUUGUUUUUCAUCCUGUAGUCCUUUUUAGAAUUACUAAACGUCCUUUUUUGGGACGAGAUUUCCAGGAACGCUUUCUCGGGGUUUGUGUGCAUGUAUUUCAAAUCAUACGGACCUAAAAAUUAGAUGUCAUUCCAUCUUUAUUCCCCUAGAGCCUUCCAGCACUUCCUAAACCGCUCUAGUCGGAGCACGUUAUCAUUCUUGUUAGUUCUGAGUGAAUUCACUUGGUAUGAUCAUUCUUUCAUCAGUUUGUUCUCCAUUUCUUCUCUAGUCUGAGCCUAGCACACUACUCUAGCUAGACAUGGGUGUGGCUCAUAACACCUCGUGACCAAACGGGUCUACGGCACCAUCAAAUCUCAAACUUUAACUACCAAAACUAUUGUUUUUCAUUCUGUAUUCCCUUUUAGAAUUACUAAACGUCCUUUUUUGGGCCGAGAUUUCCAGGAAUGCUUUCUCGGGGUUUGUGUGCACGUAUUUCAAAUCAUACGGACCUAAAAAUUAGAAGUCAUUCCAUCUUUAUUCCCCUAGAGCCUUCCAGCAGUUCCUAAACCGCUCCAGUCAGAGCAUGUUAUCAUUCUUGGUAGUUCUGAGUGAAUUCCCUCGGUACGAUCAUUCUUUCAUCAGUUUGUUCCCCGUUUCUUCUCUAGCCUGAGCCUAACACACUAUUCUAGCUAGACAUGUGUUUGGCUCGUAACACCUGAUGACCAAACAGAUCUACGGCACCGUCGAAUCUCAAACUUUAACUGCCAAAACUAUUGUUUUUCAUCUUGUAGUCCCUUUUAGAAUUACUAAACGUCCUUUUUUGGGCCGAGAUUUCCAGGAACGCUUUCUCGGGGUUUGUGUGCAUGUAUUUCAAACCAUACGGACCGAAAAAUUAGAAGUCAUUCCAUAUUUAUUCCCCUAUAGCCUUCCAACAGUUUCUAUCCGCUCCAGUCGGAGCAUGUUAUCAUUCUUGUUAGUUCAGAGUGAAUUCCGUCGGUAUGAUCAUUCUUUCAUCAGUUUGUUCCCUGUUUCUUCUCUAGCCUGAGCCUGACACACUAUUCUAGCUAGACAUGGGUGUGGCUCGUGACACCUGAUGACCAAACGGAUCUACGGCACCGUCGAAUCUCAAACUUUAACUACCAAAACUAUUGUUUUUCAUUCUGUAGUCCCUUUUAAAUUACUAAACGUCAUUUUUUGGGCCGAGAUUUCCAGGAACGCUUUCUCGGGGUUUGUGUGCAUGUAUUUCAAAUCAUACGGACCUAAAAAUUAGAAUCCAUUCCAUCUUUAUUCCCCUAGAGCCUUCGAGCCGUUCCUAAACCGCUCCAGUCGGAGCACGUUAUCAUUAUUGUUAGUUGUCAGUGAAUUCCCUCAGUAUGAUCAUUCUUUCAUCAGUUUGUUCCCUGUUUCUUCUCUAGUCUGAGCUUAACACACUAUUCUAGCUAGACAUGGGUGUGGCUCGUAACACCCGAUGACCAAACGGAUCUACGGCACCGUCGAAUCUCAAACUUUAACUGCGAAAACUAUUGUUUUUCAUCCUGUAGUCCUUUGUAGAAUUACUAAACGUCCUUUUUUGGGACGAGAUUUCCAGGAACGCUUUCUCGGGGUUUGUGUGCGCGUAUUUCAAACCAUACGAACCUUAAAAUUAGAAUUCACUCCAUCUUUAUUCCCCUAGAGCCUUCUAGCAGUUCCUAAACCGCUCCAGUCGGAGCACGUUAUCAUUCUUUUUAGUUCUGAGCGAAUUCCCUCGGUAUGAUCAUUCUUUCAUCAUUUUGUUCCCCCUUUCUUCUCUAUUCUGAGCCUAGCACACUAUUCUAGCUAUUAAUGGGUGUGGAUCGUAACACCUAAUGACCAAACGGAUCUACGGCACCAUCGAAUCUCAAACUUUAACUGCCAAAACUAUUGUUUUUCAUCCUGUAGUCCCUUUUACAAUUAUUAAACGUCCUUUUUUGGGCCGAGAUUUCCAGGAACGCUUUCUCGGGGUUUGUGUGCAUGUAUUUCAAAUCAUACGGACCUAAAAGUUUGAAGGCAUUCCAUCUUUAUUCCCCUAGAGGCUUCCAGCAGUUCCUAAACCGCUCCAGUCGGAGCACGUUAUCAUUAUUGUUAGUUCUGAGCGAAUUCCCUCGGUAUGAUCAUUCUUUCAUCAGUUUGUUUCCUGUUUCUUCUCUCUCCUGAGCAUGACACACUAUUCUCGCUAGACAUGGGUGUGGCUCGUGACACCUGAUGACCAAACGGAUCUACGACACCGUCGAAUCUCAAACUUUAACUACCAAAACUAUUGUUUUUCAUUCCGUAGUCCCUUUUAAAUUACUAAACGUCAUUUUUUGGGCCGAGAUUUCCAGGAACGCUUUCUCGGAGUUUGUGUGCAUGUAUUUCAAAUCAUACGGACCUAAAAAUUAGAAUCCAUUCCAUCUUUAUUCCCCUAAAGCUUUCCAGCAGUUCCUAAACCGCUCCAGUCGGAGCACGUUAUCAUUAUUGUUAGUUCUGAGUGAGUUCCCUCGGUAUGAUCAUUCUUUCUUAAGUUUGUUCCCCGUUUCUUCUCUAGUCUGAGCCUAACACACUAUUCUAGCUAGACAUGGGCGUGGCUCGUAACACCUGAUGACCAAACGGAUCUACGGCUGUUGGGGAACGUUGCAGAAAACAAAAAAUUUCCUACUCGUUUCACCAAGAUCAUCUAGGAGUUCAUCUAGCAACGAGUCAUUGGAUGCAUCUACAUACCUUUGUAGAUCGCGAGCGGAAGCGUUCAAAAGAACGGUGAUGAUGUAGUCGUACUCGACGUGAUCCAAAUCACCGAUGACCAGCGCCGAACGGACGGCACCUCCGCGUUCAACACACGUACGGGACGGGAGACGUCUCCUCCUUCUUGAUCCAGCAAGGGGGAAGGAGAGGUUGAUGAAGAUCCAGCAGCACGACGGCGUGGUGGUGGAUGCAGGGCGUCACAGCAGCAGGGCUUCGCCGAGACUACGAGGGAGAGACGUAACGGGGGGAGGUGGAGGCGCCAGGGGCUGGUGUAAAAUCCCCUAGUAGAUGGCAUCUACUAGGGGGGGCGGCGGCCCUAGUAGAUGGCAUCUACUAGGGGGGGCGGCGGCCAAGGGGAGGUUUCCCUCCCCCCCAAGGCACCUAGGGGUGCCUUCCACCACAUGGACUCUUCCAUGGUGGAAACCCUAGGCGCAUGGGCCUAUAGGGGCUGGUGCCCUUGGCCCAUCUAGGCCAAGGCGCACCCCCUACAGCCCAUGUGGCCCCCCGGGACAGGUGGCCCCACCCGAUGGACCCCCGGGACCCUUCCGGUGGUCCCGGUACAAUACCGAUAACCCCGAAACUUGUCCCGAUGCCCGAAAUAGCACUUCCUAUAUAUAAUUCUUUACCUCCGGACCAUUCGGAACUCCUCGUGACGUCCGGGAUCUCAUCCGGGACUCCGAACAACAUUCGGGUUUCUGCAUAUACAUAUCUUCAUAACCCUAGCGUCACCGAACCUUAAGUGUGUAGACCCUACGGGUUCGGGAGACAAGCAGACAUGACCGAGAAGACUCUCCGGUCAAUAACCAACAGCGGGAUCUGGAUACCCAUGUUGGCUCCCACAUGCUCCACGAUGAUCUCAUCGGAUGAACCACGAUGUCGAGGAUUCAAUCAAUCCCGUACGCUAUUCCCUUUGUCUAUCGAUAUGUUACUUGCCCGAGAUUCGAUCGUCGGUAUCCCAAUACCUCGUUCAAUCUCGUUACCGGCAAGUCACUUUACUCGUACCGUAAUGCAUGAUCCCGUGACCAGACACUUGGUCACUCUGAGCUCAUUAUGAUGAUGCAUUACCGAGUGGGCCCAGUGAUACCUCUCCGUCAUACGGAGUGACAAAUCCCAGUCUUGAUCCAUGUCACCCAACAGACACUUUCGGAGAUACCCGUAGUCUACCUUUAUAGUCACCCAGUUACGUUGUGACGUUUGGCAUACCCAAAGCACUCCUACGGUAUCCGGGAGUUACACGAUCUCAUGGUCUAAGGAAAAGAUACUUUGACAUUGCAAAACUCUAGCAAACGAACUAUACGAUCUUGUGCUAUGUUUAGGAUUGGGUCUCAUCCAUCACAUCAUUCUCCCAAUGAUGUGAUCUCGUUAUCAAUGACAUCCAGUGUCCAUAGUCAGGAAACCAUGACUAUCUGUUGAUCAACGAGCUAGUCAACUAGAGGCUCACUAGGGACAUGUUGGUGUCUGUUAUUCACACAUGCAUUACGAUUUCCGGAUAACACAAUUAUAGCAUGAAUAAAGACAAUUAUCAUGAACAAGGAAAUAUAAUAAUGCUUUUAUUAUUGCCUCUAGGGCAUAUUUCCAACAGUCUCCCACUUGCACUAGAGUCAAUAAUCUAGUUACAUUGUGAUGAAUCGAACACCCAUGGAAUUCUGGUGUUGAUCAUGUUUUGCUCUAGGGAGAGGUUUAGUCAACGGAUCUGCUACAUUCAGGUCCGUAUGUACUUUACAAAUCUCUAUGUCUCCAUCUUGAACAUUUUCACGAAUGGAGUUGAAGCGACGCUUGAUGUGCCUUGUCUUCUUGUGAAACCUGGGCUCCUUGGCAAGUGCAAUAGCUCCAGUGUUGUCACAGAAGAGCUUGAUCGGCCCCGACGCAUUGGGUAUGACUCCUAGGUCGGUGAUGAACUCCUUCACCCAUAUUGCUUCAUGUGCUGCCUCUGAGGCUGCCAUGUACUCCGCUUCACAUGUAGAUCCCGCCACGACGCUUUGCUUGCAACUGCACCAGCUCACUGCCCCACCAUUCAAAAUAUACACGUAUCCGGUUUGUGACUUAGAGUCAUCCAGAUCUGUGUCGAAGCUAGCGUCGACGUAACCCUUUACGACGAGCUCUUCGUCACCUCCAUAAACGAGAAACAUUUCCUUAGUCCUUUUCAGGUACUUCAGGAUAUUCUUGACCGCUGUCCAGUGUUCCUUGCCGGGAUUACUUUGGUACCUUCCUACCAAACUGACGGCAAGGUUAACAUCAGGUCUGGUACACAGCAUGACAUACAUAAUAGAACCUAUGGCUGAGGCAUAGGGGAUGACGCUCAUCUCUUCUAUAUCUUCUGCCGUGGUCGGACAUUGAGCUGAGCUCAAUUUCACACCUUGUAACACAGGCAAGAACCCCUUCUUGGAUUGAUCCAUAUUGAACUUCUUCAAUAUCUUAUCAAGGUAUGUGCUUUGUGAAAGACCUAUGAGGCGUCUUGAUCUAUCUCUAUAGAUUUUGAUGCCUAAUAUAUAAGCAGCUUCUCCAAGGUCCUUCAUUGAAAAACUUUUAUUCAAGUAGGCCUUGAUGCUGUCCAAGAGUUCUAUAUCAUUUCCCAUCAAAAGUAUGUCAUCUACAUAUAAUAUGAGAAAUGCUACAGAGCUCCCACUCACUUUCUUGUAAACGCAGGCUUCUCCAUAAGUCUGUGUAAACCCAAACGCUUUGAUCAUCUCAUCAAAGCGAAUGUUCCAACUCCGAGAUGCUUGCACCAACCCAUAAAUCGAGCGUUGGAGCUUGCACACUUUGUCAGCAUUCUUAGGAUCGACAAAACCUUCCGGCUGUAUCAUAUACAAUUCUUCCUUAAGGAAACCAUUAAGGAAUGCCGUUUUGACGUCCAUUUGCCAUAUUUCGUAAUCAUAGAAUGCGGCAAUUGCUAACAUGAUCCGGACGGACUUCAGCUUCGCUACCGGCGAGAAAGUCUCAUCAUAGUCAACCCCUUGAACUUGUCGAUAACCCUUAGCGACAAGCCGAGCUUUAUAGAUGGUCACAUUACCAUCCGCGUCUGUCUUCUUCUUAAAGAUCCAUUUAUUUUCUAUGGCUCGCCGCUCAACGGGCAAGUCAGUCAAAGUCCAUACUUUGUUUUCAUACAUGGAUCCUAUCUCGGAUUUCAUGGCUUCCAGCCAUUUGUCGGAAUCCGGGCCCGCCAUCGCUUCUUCAUAGUUCGAAGGUUCACCGUUGUCUAACAGCAUGAUUUCCAAGACUGGGUUGCCGUACCACUCUGGUGCGGAACCUGUCCUUAUGGACCUUCGAAUUUCAGUAGGGGCUUGAUCAGAAGUAUCUUGAUCAUUGUCAUUAACUUCCUCUCUAGUCGGUGCAGGCACCUCAGGAACAUUUUCUUGAGUUGCGCCAUUUUCCGGUUCAAGAGGUAAUACUUCAUCAAGCUCUACUUUCCUCCCACUUCUUCUUUCGAGAGAAACUCUUUCUCCAGAAAGGACCCAUUCUUGGCAACAAAGAUCUUGCCUUCGGAUCUGAGGUAGAAGGUGUACCCAAUAGUUUCUUUUGGGUAUCCUAUGAAGACGCAUUUUUCCGAUUUGGGUUCGAGCUUUUCAGGUUGAAGUUUCUUGACAUAAGCAUCGCAUCCCCAAACUUUUAGAAACGACAGCUUAGGUUUCUUCCCAAACCAUAAUUCAUACGGUGUCGUCUCAACGGAUUUCGACGGAGCCCUAUUUAAAGUGAAUGCGGCAGUCUCUAAAGCAUAGCCCCAAAAAGAUAGCGGUAAAUCGGUAAGAGACAUCAUAGAUCGCACCAUAUCUAAUAGAGUGUGAUUACGACGUUCGGACACACCAUUACGCUGAGGUGUUCCAGGCGGCGUGAGUUGUGAAACUAUUCCACAUUUUCUUAAGUGUGUGCCAAACUCGUAACUCAAGUAUUCUCCUCCACGAUCUGAUCGUAGAAACUUGAUUUUCCUGUCACGUUGAUUUUCAACCUCACUCUAAAAUUCCUUGAAUUUUUCAAAGGUUUCAGACUUGUGUUUCAUUAAGUAGAUAUACCCAUACCUACUUAAAUCAUCAGUGAGGGUGAGAACAUAACGAUAGCCACCGCGAGCCUCAACACUCAUUGGACCGCACACAUCAGUAUGUAUGAUUUCCAAUAAGUCGGUUGCUCGCUCCAUUGUUCCUGAGAAUGGAGUCUUGGUCAUUUUACCCAUAAGGCAUGGUUCGCAUGUGUCAAAUGAUUCAUAAUCAAGAGACUCUAAAAGUCCAUCAGCAUGGAGCUUCUUCAUGCGUUUGACACCUAUGUGACCAAGGCGGCAGUGCCACAGGUAUGUGGGACUAUCAUUACCAACCUUACUUCUUUUGGUACUCACAUUAUGAACAUGUGUAGCAUCACGUUCGAGAUUCAUAAAGAACAAACCAUUCACCAUAGGAGCAUGACCAUAAAACAUAUCUCUCAUAAAAAUGGAACAACCAUUAUUCUCAGAUUUAAAAGAGUAGCCAUCUCGAAUUAAACGAGAUCCUGAUACAAUGUUCAUGCUCAAAGCUGGCACUAAAUAACAAUUAUUAAGGUUUAAAACUAAUCCCGAAGGGAGAUGCAGAGGUAGCGUGCCGACGGCGAUCACAUUGACCUUGGAACCAUUCCCGACGCGCAUCGUCACCUCGUCCUUUGCCAGUUUCCGCUUAUUCCGCAGCCCCUGCUUUGAGUUACAAAUGUGAGCAACUGCACCGGUAUCAAAUACCCAGGAGCUACUACGGGCACUAGUAAGGUACACAUCAAUUACAUGUAUAUCACAUAUACCUUUUGUUUUGCCGGCCUUCUUAUCCGCUAAGUACUUAGGGCAGUUCCGCUUCCAGUGACCGCUUCCCUUACAAUAAAAGCACUCAGUCUCGGGCUUGGGUCCAUUCUUUGGCUUCUUCCCGGCAGCUUGCUUGCCGGGCGUGGCAACCUCCUUGCCGUCCUUCUUGAAGUUCUUUUUACCCUUGCCUUUCUUGAACUUAGUGGUUUUAUUGACCAUCAACACUUGAUGUUCCUUCCUGACUUCUACCUCUGCUGAUUUCAGCAUAGCAAAUACUUCAGGAAUGGUCUUUUCCAUCCCCUGCAUAUUGAAGUUCAUCACAAAGCUCUUGUAGCUUGGUGGAAGCGACUGGAGGAUUCUGUCAAUGACCGCAUCAUCCGGGAGAUUAACUCCCAGCUGGGUCAAGCGGUUAUGCAACCCAGACAUAGUGAGUAUGUGCUCACUGACAGAACUGUUUUCCUCCAUCUUACAGCUGAAGAAUUUGUCGGAGACUUCAUAUCUCUCGACCCGGGCAUGAGCUUGGAAAACCAUUUUCAGCUCUUCGAACAUCUCAUAUGCUCCAUGUCUCUCAAAACGCUUUUGGAGCCCCGGCUCUAGGCUGUAAAGCAUGCCGCACUGAACGAGGGAGUAGUCAUCGAAACGUGCCUGCCAAGCGUUCAUAACAUCUUGUUCUGCAGGGAGAACGGGUGCGUCACCAAGCGGUGCUUGUAGGACAUAAUCUUUCUUGGCAGCUAUGAGGAUGAUCCUCAGGUUCCGGACCCAGUCCGUAUAGUUGCUGCCAUCGUCUUUCAGCUUGGUUUUCUCUAGGAACGCGUUGAAGUUGAGGACUACGUUGGCCAUUUAAUCUACAAGACAUAUUGUAAAAUAUUUAGACUAAGUUCAUGAUAAUUAAGUUCAACUAAUCAAAUUAUUAAUGAACUCCCACUUAGAUUAGACAUCCCUCUAGUCAUCUAAGUAUAACAUGAUCCGAGUUAAACUAGACCGUGUCCGAUCAUCACGUGAGACGGACUAGUCAACAUCGGUGAACAUCUUCAUGUUGAUCGUAUCUUCUAUACGACUCAUGCUCGACCUUCCGGUCUUCCGUGUUCCGAGGCCAUGUCUGUACAUGCUAGGCUCGUCAAGUCAACCUAAGUGUUUGCAUGUGUAAAUAUGUCUUACACCCGUUGUAUGUGAAUGUCUGAAUAAAACAUCCGAUCAUCACGUGGUGUUUUGAAACAGCGAACUGUCGCAACGGUGCACAGUUAGGGGGAACACUUCUUGAAAUUAGUAUGAGGGAUCACCUUAUUUACUACCGUCGUUCUAAGUAAACAAGAUGCAAAACAUGAUAAACAUCACAUGCAAUCAAAUAAUAAACGUGACAUGAUAUGGCCAAUAUCACAUAGCUCCUUUGAUCUCCAUCUUGGGGCUCCAUGAUCAUCUUGUCACCGGCUUGACACCAUGAUCUCUAUCAUCAUGAUCUCCAUCAUCGUGUCUCCAUGAAGUUGCUCGCCAACUAUUACUUCUACUACUAUGGCUAACGCGUUUAGCAAUAAAGUAAAGUAAUUUACAUGGCGUUUCUCGAUGACACGCAGGUCAUAUAAAAGAAUAAAGACAACUCCUAUGGCUCCUGCCGGUUGUCAUACUCAUCGACAUGCAAGUCGUGAAUCCUAUUACAAUAACAUGAACAUCUCAUACAUCACAUAUAGAUCAUUCAUCAUUCAUCACAACUUUGGCCAUAUCAUAUCACAAACCACUUGCUGCAAAAACAAGUUAGACGUUCUCUAAUUGUUGUUGCAAGUUUUACGUGGCUGAAUUAGGGUUCUAGCAGGAACGUCUUCUUACCUACGUUAAAGCCACAACGUGAUUUGUCAACUUCUAUUUACCCUUCAUAAGGACCCUGUUCAUCGAUUCCGCUCCAACUAAAGUAGGAGAGACAGACACCCGCCAGCCACCUUAUGCAACUAGUGCAUGUUAGUCGGUGGAACCGGUCUCACGUAAGCGUACGUGUAAGGUUGGUCCGGGCCGCUUCAUCCCACAAUACCGCUGAAUCAAGAAAGGACUAGUAACGGCAAGAAAGUUGACAAAUCUACGCCCACAACAAAUUGUGUUCUACUCGCGCAAGAAGAACUACGCAUAGACCUAGCUCAUGAUGCCACUGUUGGGGAACGUUGCAGAAAACAAAAAUUUUCCUACUCGUUUCACCAAGAUCAUCUAGGAGUUCAUCUAGCAACGAGUCAUUGGAUGCAUCUACAUAACUUUGUAGAUCGCGAGCAGAAGCGUUCAAAAGAACGGUGAUGAUGUAAUCAUACUCGACGUGAUCCAAAUCACCGAUGACCAGCGCCGAACGGACGGCACCUCCGCGUUCAACACACGUACGGGACGGGAGACGUCUCCUCCUUCUUGAUCCAGCAAGGGGGAAGGAGAGGUUGAUGAAGAUCCAGCAGCACUACGGCGUGGUGGUGGAUGCAGGGCGUCACAGCAGCAGGGCUUCGCCGAGACUACGAGGGAGAGACGUAACGGGGGGAGGUGGAGGCGCCAGGGGCUGGUGUAAAAUCCCUCCUCUCCCCCACUAUAUAUAGGGGUGCCAGGGGGGCGCCGGCCCUAGUAGAUGGCAUCUACUAGGGGGGGCGGCGGCCAAGGGGAGGUUUCCCUCCCCCCCAAGGCACCUAGGGGUGCCUUCCACCACAUGGACUCUUCCAUGGUGGAAACCCUAGGCGCAUGGGCCUAUAGGGGCUGGUGCCCUUGGCCCAUCUAGGCCAAGGCGCACCCCCUACAGCCCAUGUGGCCCCCCGGGACAGGUGGCCCCACCUGGUGGACCCCCGGGACCCUUCCGGUGGUCCCGGUACAAUACCGAUAACCCCGAAACUUGUCCCGAUGCCCGAAAUAGCACUUCCUAUAUAUAAUUCUUUACCUCCGGACCAUUCCGGAACUCCUCGUGACGUCCGGGAUCUCAUCCGGGACUCCGAACAACAUUCGGGUUUCGGCAUAUACAUAUCUUCAUAACCCUAGCGUCACCGAACCUUAAGUGUGUAGACCCUACGGGUUCGGGAGACAAGCAGACAUGACCGAGACGACUCUUCGGUCAAUAACCAACAGCGGGAUCUGGAUACCCAUGUUGGCUCCCACAUGCUCCACGAUGAUCUCAUUUGAUGAACCACGAUUCCGAGGAUUCAAUCAAUCCCGUACGCUAUUCCCUUUGUCUAUCGAUAUGUUACUUGCCCGAGAUUCGAUCGUCGGUAUCCCAAUACCUCGUUCAAUCUCGUUACCGGCAAGUCACUUUACUCGUACCGUAAUGCAUGAUCCCGUGACCAGACACUUGGUCACUCUGAGCUCAUUAUGAUGAUGCAUUACCGAGUGGGCCCAGUGAUACCUCUCUGUCAUACGGAGUGACAAAUCCCAGUCUUGAUCCAUGUCACCCAACAGACACUUCCGGAGAUACCCGUAGUCUACCUUUAUAGUCACCCAGUUACGUUGUGACGUUUGGCAUACCCAAAGCACUCCUACGGUAUCCGGGAGUUACACGAUCUCAUGGUCUAAGGAAAAGAUACUUGACAUUGGAAAACUCUAGCAAACGAACUAUACGAUCUUGUGCUAUGUUUAGGAUUGGGUCUUGUCCAUCACAUCAUUCUCCCAAUGAUGUGAUCUCGUUAUCAAUGACAUCCAGUGUCCAUAGUCAGGAAACCAUGACUAUCUGUUGAUCAACGAGCUAGUCAACUAGAGGCUCACUAGGGACAUGUCGGUGUCUGUUAUUCACACAUGUAUUACGAUUUCCGGAUAACACAAUUAUAGCAUGAAUAAAGACAAUUAUCAUGAACAAGGAAAUAUAAUAAUAAUGCUUUUAUUAUUGCCUCUAGGGCAUAUUUCCAACAACGGCACCGUCGAAUCUCAAACUUUAACUGCGAAAACUAUUGUUUUUCAUCCUGUAGUCCCUUUUAGAAUUACUAAACGUCCUUUUUUGGGCCGAGAUUUCCAGGAACGCUUUCUCAGGGUUUGUGUGCGUGUAUUUCAAAGCAUACGGACCUAAAAAUUAGAAUUCAUUCCAUCUUUAUGCCCCUAGAGCCUUCCAGCAGUUCCUAAACCGCUCCAGUCGGAUUACGUUAUCAUUCUUGUUAGUUCUGAGCGAAUCCCCUCGGUAGGAUCAUUCUUUCAUUAGUUUGUUCCCCGUUUCUUCUCUAGUCUGAGCCUAGCACACAAUUCUAGCUAGACAUGGGUGUGGCUCGUAUCACCUGAUGACCAAACGGAUCUACGACACCGUCGAAUCUCAAAUUUAACUGCCAAAACUAUUAUUUUUCAUCCUGUAGUCCCUUUUACAAUUAUUAAACAUCCUUUUUUGGGCCGAGAUUUCCAGGAACGCUUUCUCGGGGUUUGUGUGCAUGUAUUUCAAAUCAUACGGACCUAAAAAUUAGAUGUCAUUCCAUCUUUAUUCCCCUAGAGCCUUCCAGCACUUCCUAAACCGCUCUAGUCGGAGCACGUUAUCAUUCUUGUCAGUUCUGAGUGAAUUCACUUGGUAUGAUCAUUCUUUCAUCAGUUUGUUCUCCAUUUCUUCUCUAGUCUGAGCCUAGCACACUACUCUAGCUAGACAUGGGUGUGGCUCAUAACACCUCGUGACCAAACGGGUCUACGGCACCAUCAAAUCUCAAACUUUAACUGCCAAAACUAUUGUUUUUCAUUCUGUAUUCCCUUUUAGAAUUACUAAACGUCCUUUUUUGGGCCGAGAUUUCCAGGAAUGCUUUCUCGGGGUUUGUGUGCACGUAUUUCAAAUCAUAGGACCUAAAAAUUAGAAGUCAUUCCAUCUUUAUUCCCCUAGAGCCUUCCAGCAGUUCCUAAACCGCUCCAGUCAGAGCAUGUUAUCAUUCUUGGUAGUUCUGAGUGAAUUCCCUCGGUAUGAUCAUUCUUUCAUCAGUUUGUUCCCCAUUUCUUCUCUAGCCUGAGCCAAACACACUAUUCUAGCUAGACAUGUGUGUGGCUCGUAACACCUGAUGACCAAACGGAUCUACGGCACCGUCGAAUCUCAAACUUUAACUGCCAAAACUACUGUUUUUCAUCUUGUAGUCCCUUUUAGAAUUACUAAACGUCCUUUUUUGGGCCGAGAUUUCCAGGAACACUUUCUCGGGGUUUGUUUGCACGUAUUUCAAACCAUACAGACCUAAAAAUUAGAAGUCAUUCCAUAUUUAUUCCCCUAUAGCCUUCUAGCAGUUUCUAAACCGCUCCAGUCGGAGCAUGUUAUCAUUGUUGUUAGUUCUGAGUGAAUUCCCUCGGUAUGAUCAUUCUUUCAUCAGUUUGUUCCUUGUUUCUUCUCUAGCCUGAGCCUGACACACUAUUCUAGCUAGACAUGGGUGUGGCUCGUGACACCUGAUGACCAAAUGGAUCUACGGCACCGUCGAAUCUCAAACUUUAACUACCAAAACUAUUAUUUUUCAUUCUGUAGUCCCUUUUAAAUUACUAAACAUCAUUUUUUGGGCCGAGAUUUUCAGGAACGCUUUCUCGGGGUUUGUGUGCAUGUAUUUCAAAUCAUACGGACCUAAAAAUUAGAAUCCAUUCCAUCUUUAUUCCCCUAGAGCCUUCCAGCAGUUCCUAAACCGCUCCAGUCGGAGCACGUUAUCAUAAUUGUUAGUUCUGAGUGAAUUCCCUCAGUAUGAUCAUUCUUUCAUCAGUUUGUUCCCCGUUUGGUCAUCAGGUGUUACGAGCCACACCCAUGUCUAGCUAGAAUAGUGUGUUAGGCUCAGGCUAGAGAAGAAACGGGGAACAAACUGAUGAAAGAAUGAUCAUACCGAGGGAAUUCACUCAAAACUAACAAUAAUAAUAACGCGCUCCGAUUGGAGCGGUUUAGGAACUGCUGGAAGGCCCUAGGGGAAUAAAGAUGCAAUGACUUCUAAUUUUUAGGUCCUAUGAUUUUAAAUACUUGCACACAAACGACGCGAAAGUGUUCCUGGAAAUCUCAGCCCAAAAAAGGACGUUUAGUAAUUCUAAAAGGGACUAUUAGAUGAAAAACAAUAGUUUUGGCAGUUAAAGUUUGAGAUUCGACGGUGCCGUAGAUCCAUUUGGUCAUCAGGUGUUACGAGCCACACCCAUGUCUAGCUAGAAUAGUAUGUUAGGCUCAGGUUAGAGAAGAAAUGGGGAACAAACUGAUGAAAGAAUGAUCAUACCAAGGGAAUUCACUCAGAACUAACAAGAACGAUAACGUGCUCCGACUGGAGCGGUUUAGGAACUGCUGGAAGGCUCUAGGGGAAUAAAGAUGGAAUGACUUCUAAUUUUUAGGUCCGUAUGAUUUGAAAUGCUUGCACAUAAACCACGCAAAAGCGUUCCUGGAAAUCUCAGCCUAAAAAGGACGUUUAGUAAUUCUAAAAGGGACUACAGGAUGAAAAACAAAAGUUUUGGCAGUUAAAGUUUGAGAUUCGACGGUGCCGUAGAUCCGUUUGGUCAUCAGGUGUUACGAGCCACACCCAUGUCUAGCUAGAAUAGUGUAACACCCUCGAUGCAACUAUAUCUCCCACGUGUCGAGGCAGGACUUACACGCAUAAUCGCAUUGACGGCAUAUGUCGCAAAUUAGGCAAUCUUCACAACAUCCCAUGUAAUAUAGAUAAUAAAAGGGGAGAUAACAUAGUUGGCUUACACUCGCCACGUCAAUCAAGGUACAUAAAUAACAUGACAUCAUCCAAACACUCAUGGCCCGACUACGGCGCCAAAAUAAAAGAUAACCCAACAUGCGACACGGUUCCGAUCACCCCCAACUGGGCACCACUACUGAUCAUCAAGAAAGGAAACAUAGUAUCAUUGAGAGUACUCGUCGAACACCCACAUGAGCUCAAGCGCGUCACCUGGAGCUGAAUCAUCAGGCCCUGCAUCUGGUUUAAUAGUAAUCUGUGAGCCACAGGGACUCAGCAAUCUCACACCCUCGCAAUCAAGACUAUUUAAGCUUAUAGGUAAGGCAAGGUAAAUAUGUGAGCUGCAGCAAGCGACUAGCAUAUAUGGUGGCUAUCAUGUUCGAAAAAGAGGGCGAGAAGAGGAGGCUAAGCGCGAACGAAUAACUAGAGAGCAACCUGCGCAAACAUUACUCCAACACCGUGUCCACUUCCCGGACUCCACCGAGAAGAGGCCAUCACGGUAACUCACACUGUUGAUUCAUUUUAAUUAAGUUAAGGUUCAAGUUGUCUACAACCGGACAUUAACAAAUUCCCAUCUGCCCAUAACCGCGGGCACGACUUUCGAAAGUUCAAAUCCCUGCAGGGGAGUCCCAACUUAGCCCAUGACUAGCUCUCAUGGUCAACGAAGGAAUAGACCUCCUCCCGAGAUGUUCCGACCAGACUCGGUAUCUCGGUUCUUCAAGACACUUCGACAGGUUAAAACAAAUCCAGCAACACCACCCGAAUGUGCCGACAAAUCCCGAUAGGAGCUGCACAUAUCUCUUUCUCAGGGCACACUCAGAUUGUCUUAGGUACGGGUAGGCCAGCCCAGAGUUGCCCCUGGUGGCCACCGGCAGCUGACAGGUGGACCAACACUCAGAGGGGCACUAGNNNNNNNNNNNNNNNNNNNNNNNNNNNNNNNNNNNNNNNNNNNNNNNNNNNNNNNNNNNNNNNNNNNNNNNNNNNNNNNNNNNNNNNNNNNNNNNNNNNNNNNNNNNNNNNNNNNNNNNNNNNNNNNNNNNNNNNNNNNNNNNNNNNNNNNNNNNNNNNNNNNNNNNNNNNNNNNNNNNNNNNNNNNNNNNNNNNNNNNNNNNNNNNNNNNNNNNGGGGGGGGUUAAAAUAAGAUGACCCUCAGGCUCCGGAAACCCAAGGGAAAAAGAGGCUAGGUGGCAAAUGGUAAAACCAAGGUUGGGCAUUGCUGGAAAAGCUUUAAUCAAGGUGAACUAUCAAGGGGUUCCCAUUAUAACCCAACCGCGCAAGGAACGCAAAAUCCGGGAACAUAACACCGAUAUGACGGAAACUAGGGCGGCAAGAGUGGAACAAAACACUAGGAGAGAGGCCGAGCCUUCCACCCUUUACCAAGUAUAUAGAUGCAUUAAGAUAACAUGGCAAUAUAAUGAUAUCCCAACAAGUAAAUAAAUGUUCCAGCAAGGAACGGUCUCCAAUCUUCACCUGCAACUAGCAACGCUAUAAGAGGGGCUGAGCAAAGCGGUAACAUAGCCAAUCAACGGUUUGCUAGGACAUGGUGGGUUAGAGGUUUGACAUGGCAAUUUGGGAGGCUUGAAAGCAGGUGGUAGGCAUCGUAGCAUUGGCAUAGAAAAAGAGCAAGCAUCUAGCAAAGCAAAGAUAGUAGUGAUUUCGAGGGUAUGAUCAUCUUGCCUCCAAAGUUGUCAGAGUUGACUGGAUCCUCGAAAGCAAACUCAUCGGGCUCCUCGUUAGAGAACUCGUCUCCCGGCUCUACCCAAACAAGACAAACAAGCAAACGGAACACAAUCAACCACGUGCAAAGCUCAAACAAUAUGAUGCAAAGAUGAUAUGCUAUGCGGGAUGCGAUGCGGGAUGCAUAUGCAAGAUUUGACAAGGAAUGCAUGAACCUGACCUCAACUUGUGAAUCCAAGUGUGCCACUGGAAAGAUGAGAUGAAAUCUCUUGAAAACAAUAUAAAGAUCACUGGAAUCGGAGUUACGGUUUGGAAAUGGCAAGCAAAUCAAAUAUGAUCACGUUUUGCGAUUUACAGCAAGUACCCAUCUAAAUGCAAUGAGAUGAACAAGCUACAGCACCCAAACAUGGCAUAAAAAUACAUGGAAGGGAUGCAUUCCUGAUGCUUAACAAAAGUCUAGCACUGAGCUACGGCCAAUUCAUCCACUAACAGGUUCAAACAAGCAUGGCAAAAAUGCAUAUGGUAAACAUAUUUCAGACUUAGUGAAAUUAACACUUGUCUGGAAUUUCAGAUCAGGUAGCACUCUUCGGAGCAUGAAAACUAUAUGCUACAGGACCUAAACAUGGCAAAGUAAAACAUGGCAUGGAGCUACUCAAAGAUCUUAACAAAAGUCCCUUAGUGACCUUGAGCCAAAAGGGAUCAGAAAAUAUAUUUGCAAGCAUGUGAACAUGGCAAAAACAUAAUCGGAUCACAGACUUAGUGAAAACUGGAGCAUGCUGAAAACAGAUAUCAAGUAGGCAUGUUUACGAACUCGAUGCACUCACUAUAGAGCAAGUCAUGACAAUCUAAGCAUACACCCAUCAAGAAUACACAAAAUUCAAGCUAUACAUGGCAAGAACAAUAACAUAGCAUGCACGGAUCAACUACAACAUCCUCGGCAAAAUUGCUAACAAGUAGACAAUCUGCCCAGAUUCACGAAAUAGCAAAAGUAGAGCUCGAUUGACUCAAGCUAGGGUGCUCCAUAAUUGCAAACAAAGACAUGGAUGCAUAGAGCACUACAAUAUUAACAAAACAUCCUUACUUAUCAUCCUCAAAAGAGGCACGGAUCACUAGGAAACAACAUGAACAUAUAGCCAUAUGAGAUAACCAGAUCAAGGGCUUAGUGGAAUUGCUAAGUCCCUGGAAUCAGCAUUACCAAGUGCCUCACUUUGCAAGCUUGUGCUAGUCAGCACACACAUCACAAAAAUACAUGGGUUGCACCUCUGGAAAGAUGGAAAAACCCUUAACAAAACAUAUGUAGAGCUCAUGGGCAUAUCAUGCACACAAUAAUUAUGGCAAAAAUGACAAAUAUCUAAAUGGAGUAGCAGAUCUGACAAUUAUCUCAAGUAGCACUCUUCCAACAGCAUUUCGGGCAUCAAGAUGAACUCAAAUGAAAAUGAUGCAAUAAGAUGAAAUGAUGUGCUCUCUGAGACGAACAUUUUGAUAUGCUAUAUGCCCAAAACGGAGCUACGGAUGAGGAGUUACGGCAUGAUGAACAAGGGCAUAUGAAAUAGGGUUAGGGAGAAAGUCAACCGUCGUUUUGGAUCUAGAUCCAGAUCCGGAUCGCGCGCGUUUCGAGGUUUGCCGGAGAUCUGUUCGCCGGAGUAGCCGCGGGGCAUCACCGGAGGUCGGAGACAAGGAGGGAGAGGCCGGGGCGAUGUGGGCCUCUGGGGAGAGGUCGCCGGCGGGGGUUUCGGGCGGCGCGGCGCCGGUCGNNNNNNNNNNNNNNNNNNNNNNNNNNNNNNNNNNNNNNNNNNNNNNNNNNNNNNNNNNNNNNNNNNNNNNNNNNNNNNNNNNNNNNNNNNNNNNNNNNNNNNNNNNNNNNNNNNNNNNNNNNNNNNNNNNNNNNNNNNNNNNNNNNNNNNNNNNNNNNNNNNNNNNNNNNNNNNNNNNNNNNNNNNNNNNNNNNNNNNNNNNNNNNNNNNNNNNNNNNNNNNNNNNNNNNNNNNNNNNNNNNNNNNNNNNNNNNNNNNNNNNNNNNNNNNNNNNNNNNNNNNNNNNNNNNNNNNNNNNNNNNNNNNNNNNNNNNNNNNNNNNNNNNNNNNNNNNNNNNNNNGGCGGCUUGCGGACGUGAGGCGGCGGGGCGAUGUGGGCCUCGGGGGCCCCGAGCGGGCCUCGCGGGCCGGCGGCGUUGCGGCGGCAAAGUGGGCGCGCGGGCGCCACGUGGCUAGAUCUGAUAGGUCGGCGGCGGUGGGCGGACAAUGCCCGGCCAUCCGGAUUUUGUCCGGCGGCUGGAGGAGGAGGAGGGUUAGGGUUUCUCCCGAGAUUUCGAAUGGGGAAGAUAUAUAUAGGCAUAGAGGGAGCUAGGAGAUUCCAAAUGAGGUGCGGUUUUCGGCCACGCAAUCGUGAUUGAACACUCUAGAUGAUGGAGAAGGUUUAGGUGGGUUUUGGGCCAACUUGGAAGGGUGUUGGGCUGCAACACACACGAGGCCUUUAUGGUCCCUCGGUUAACCGUUGGAGUAUCAAACGAAGUCCAAAUGAUACGAAACUUAACAGGCGGUCUACCGGUAGUAAACCAAGGCCGCUUGGCAAGUCUCGGUCCAAUCCGGAAAUGUUUAAUCCCCACACACGAAAGAAAGGUAGAAAUGACCACCGGAGGAGAACGAAGCGCCUGAAUGCAAAACGGACAAUGGGGAAAAUGUUCGAAUGCAUGAGAUGAACACGUAUGCAAAUGCAAUGCACAUGAUGACAUGAUAUGAGAUGCAUGACAAUGACAACAACACACGGAGACAAAAACCCAAACCCGAGAAAAUAAAAUAACUUAAGGCCGGAAACGGCAAGAGUUGGAAUACAUAUUGGGAAAGUCAUAUCCGGGGUGUUACAACACUCCACCACUACGAAAGGAUCUCGUCCCGAGAUCUAGGACUGAAAGAACACCGGGUACUCAGAACGGAGGUGAUCCUCGCGUUCCCAGGUAGCUUCACGGUCGGAAUGGUGUGACCACUUGACUUUGAGGAAUUUGAUUGACUUGUUGCGAGUCUUGCGUUCAGUCUCUUCAAGAAUAGCAACUGGGUGCUCACAAUAAGAGAGAUCUUCUUGGAGCUCAAUGUCCUCGAAGUUGACAGUGCGGUCAGGAGUCUUGAAGCACUUUCGAAGCUGAGAGACAUGGAACACAUCAUGAACAUUUGCAAAGUUUGAAGGAAGCUCAAGUUGAUAGGCGAGAUCGCCUCUCUUGCUGACAAUCUUGAAAGGUCCCACAUAUCUAGGGGCAAGCUUCCCUUUGAUACUGAAGCGACGAGUACCUUUCAUAGGAGAGACGCGGAGGUAAACAUGAUCUCCGAUCUCGAAAGCCAAAUCACGGUGCUUACUGUCAUAGUAGCUCUUCUAGCGGGAUUGGUCUGCUUUGAGGUUAUCUCGAAUGACUUUGCACAUUUCCUCUGCCUCUAUGAUUAAGUCAUUUCCGAGAAGCUGACGUUCACCUGUUUUGGACCAGUUGAGAGGGGUACGGCACUUCCUGCCAUACAGAAUUUCAAAUGGGGCCUUGCCCGAACUUGCUUGAAAACUGUUGUUGUAGGAGAAUUCAGCAUAAGGAAGACAAUCCUCCCACUUCAUGCCGAAGGAGAUCACACAAGCCCUGAGCAUAUCUUCAAGAAUCUGGUUGACACGCUCGACUUGACCGCUAGUUUGAGGAUGGAAAGCUGUGCUGAAGCGGAUGUUGGUGCCCAUGGCCUUCUGAAAAGAAUCCCAAAACUUGGAGGUAAAGAUGCUGCCACGGUCUGAAGAGAUCACUUGUGGAAUACCGUGCAGAGAGAAAAUUCGAGAGGUAUAGACUUCCGCCAAUUGAGCUGCAGUGAUUGACUCUUUGAUAGGCAGAAAGUGAGCCACUUUAGUGAGUUUGUCGAUGACAACGAAUAUAGCAUCAUUGCCACACUUGGACUUUGGAAACCUAGUCACGAAGUCCAUUUCAAUGUGGUCAAACUUCCAUUCUGGAAUGGCAAGAGGUUGGAGGAGACCCGCUGGUCUUUGGUGUUCUGCCUUCACUCUUCUGCGGACAUCACACUCAUUCACGAACUGAGCGAUCUCGCGCUUCAUUCGAGUCCACCAGUAAGCCUGCCUGAGGUCCUGAUACAUCUUCGUACUCCCAGGGUGGAUGGAGAGGAGAGAAUUGUGAGCCUUGUUCAUGAUCACUUUACGGAGGUCACCUUUGGGCACAACAAUACGAUCCUCGAAGAAGAGAGUCUCCUUGUCAUCAAGGCGGUAGCACUUGUACUUGGGUUGACUCUUGGCAAUCACAAUCUUCACCUUUUUCACCAUAGCAUCAAGAAGCUGGGCUUGGCGAAUCUGGUCUUCCAAGGUAGGAGAUACUUGAAGGUUGGCGAGGAAACCUUGAGGAACAACUUGCAGGUUAAGUUUGCGGAAAGCUUCACAAAGCUCGGGUUGAUAAGGCUUGAGAAUUAGACUGUUGCAAUAAGCCUUUCUGCUCAAUGCGUCAGCAAUCACAUUGGCCUUGCCUGGAGUAUACUCGAUACUCGGAUUAUACUCUUGAAUCAUUUCGACCCAUCGAGUUUGCCUAAGGUUGAGAUUAGGCUGAGUGAAGAUGUACUUGAGACUCUUGUGAUCAGUGAAAAUGUCCACUUUUCUUCCCAAUAAGAGAUGUCUCCAAGUCAAAAGAGCAUGCACAACUGCCGCCAACUCGAGAUCAUGAGUGGGGUAGUUCUUCUCAUUGGGCUUCAAUUGGCGAGAGGUAUAAGCAACAACUUUCUUCUCUUGCAUCAACACUGCGCCAAGACCUUGGAGAGAGGCAUCACAAAAGACCUCGUACGGCUUGGAUUCAUCAGGCGGAGUCAGAACUGGAGCAGUGAUCAAUUUCUCUUUCAAAGUGUUGAAAGCAAUGUCACACUCCGGAGACCAAACGUACUUGACGUGCUUCUGGAGAAGAUUUGAGAGAGGCUUCGCGAUCUUAGAAAAGUUUUCAACGAAUCUUCGAUAGUAGCUUGCGAGACCGAGGAAGCUACGAAGUUGCUUCACGUUCUGAGGAGGUUCCCAAUUCACAAUUGCAGACACCUUCUCAGGAUUCAUGGCAAUGCCCUUGGCAGAGAUGAUAUGACCAAGAUAAAGAACCUCAUCGAGCCAAAAUUCGCACUUGGAGAACUUGGCGUAGAACUUGUGUUCCCUCAACUUAUCGAGUACCAAACGCAAGUGCUUGGCAUGAUCUUCCUUGUUCUUCGAGCAAACCAGAAUGUCGUCGAGAUAGACCAAAUGAAGUCAUUGGUGUAGGCAUUGAAGAUGAAGUUCAUCAUGCGAGAGAAAGUCGGAGGAGCGUUGACGAGGCCAAAAGACAUGACAGUGUAUUCAUAUGACCCAUAGCUUGUCCUGAAAGCCGUCUUGGGAAUAUCUUGCUCACAGAUUUGAAUAUGAUGAUAACCCAUACGGAGAUCAAGCUUGGAGAAUACUUGCGCACCUUUGAGUUGUUCGAACAGCUUGUUGAUGUUGGGAAGUGGGUAUUUGUUCUUGAUAGUCUUCUUGUUCAAUGGACGGUAAUCAACACAAAGCCGAUCCGUUCCAUCCUUCUUCUUCACAAAAAGAACACCACAACCCCACGGAGAAGAACUAGGCUGGAUGAGACCCAUUCUCUCUUGAAUAUCGAGUUGCUUCUUCAGCUCCUUCAACUCUUCAGGUCCGAGCUUGUAAGGACGCUUGCACACUGGUUCCGUGCCAGGAUCAAGAUCGAUGACGAAUUUAACUGGCCGAUGCGGAGGCAUUCCUAGAAGCUCUUUUGGAAAGACGUCUUGAUAUUCGCAAACGACUGGAAUUUGCGAGAUAGCAUCCAGUUCACCCUUCUCAUUGAGAGAAAACAGACGGAUGGUAUCAUCACAAGCGGCAAAGACAAUUACAUCCUCAGACGAAUGAGUCAAUUGAAUCUGCCUGGCUGCACAAUCAAGCUGAGCCUUGUGCUUAGAAAGCCAAUCCAUUCCGAGAAUAAGAUCAAUAUCCGAGUCCCCAAGAACUGUAGGAGAAGAUAGAAAUUUGUAGUCUCCCAAAGUGAUAGUAACAUCUGGAGCAAUGGAGUUAGCAUGCAUGCGCCUACCGGGAGAGACAACUACUAAUGGACUAGGCAAAAUUUGCAAAGCCAACCCAUGCUUAGAUGAAAACGGUCUCGAUAUGAAAUAAUGCGAUGCACCCGUGUCAAAAAGAACUUUUGCAGGAAUAUCGUUAAUAGGAAGGUUACCCAUGAUGACAUCUGACGAGUCUGCAUUCAUCAAGUUGACCUUGGCGUGCUUGGGGUUAUGCUUGACCACAGGUGUACUUGCCCUCACAGGAGGAGGAGGAGGAGGAAGACGCCUCUGGUUGAAACACUUGUUGGCAUAGUGACCCUUCUAUUGGCACUUGUUGCACGUGACCUCUGAAAGUGGACGGUGAUACGGAGCACUCGAUCUUGGAGCUUGAGACGAAGUCUUGUUCUGAAAGCCAGGGUUGGGUGGGUGGGAAGAUCCACUGCCACCUUUGCUCUUCUGCUGAUACGGCUGACGGAACGGAGGAGGAGGAAGCCAAUACUUCUGCUGCUUGGCCACUUGAGUAGAGGAAGAAGGAGUAACAUCUCUAACUCGCUUCUUGGAAGCAUCACACCUCAGUUGAGCGGCAUCUUGCUUCAAUGCCAUGUUGUAGAACUCAUCGUACCUCAAGGGCUCAAAGAGAACAAGAGCUAGCUGAAUUUCCUCUCUGAGACCACCCCUGAACUGGUAUAUCAUGCUCUUCUCAUCAGGGACGUCCUGCUUGGCAAAGCGGGCGAGCUUCUGAAACAGCUUGUUGUAGUCAUAGACUGACAAAGAGCCUUGCUUCAGGUUGUGGAAUUCCUCACGCUUGCUUUCAACCACGCUCUGAGAAAUAUGAUGAGCUCUGAAAUCUUGACGGAAUUCAUCCCAGGUAAUAACACAUCCACCUCUGGAAUCCUUGUACUGCUGGAACCAUUCUGCAGCUUGAUCUUUGAGUUGGAAGGAAGCAAACUUGACGAAGUCCUCAGGCCCGACGUUACUGCACUUGAAAUGCUUGCACAGAUCCACGAGCCAAUCGUCAGCAUCGGUUGCCUCAACACAAUUGUUGAAAGUCUUUGGCCCAUUAGCAAGGAACUGGUUGAGAGUGGCAAAGUGAUUCUGAUUGUUGCCUUGGUUCCCUUGGUUGCCUUGAUUGCACUCUUGAAGAAUUUGCAUGAUCAACUGUGUGUUUGCAUUGGUUGCGGCCAUCACAGCUUGCCAUGCCUCCGGAGGAGGGGGAGGUGGUGGCGGAUCUUGAUUCUGAUUCUGAUUGGUGCUCUUAGCGGGAGCCAUCCUGAAGAGGUUGACCACCGUUAGCACAUAGAUAGAUAAAAUGAAGCUGAAUCCAAUGGAAUGAAAAUUGCAACAUAAAGUCUUCACAUCCGAACAGAAUGAACGAAUGCAUUCCUCUUGAAAUGGUCACAUAUCCAUAAAUUGACAAGCCACUUAGAAUUUAUGUAGAGAAAUAAAUCAACAAGGUAUGGAUCAAGAACGAAUACUCGGUAAGAAAUCCCAAUCUCAAACCAAAUAUCCGUGGAAGAAGAGCUAGAGCUACUUGAAUUCCCACCUAUGAAACUCCCGAACCUUUCCGGUUAUGCAAUCAGGUGUUGGGGAUACAGGGGAAGCAUAAUAUCUCACCCAAAUCUAGCAAAUCAUACAUCCAGCUGUAUCCAUCCUUCAACACAUAACCGAGAAAACUUCGGAAACCAUCUACCUCAACCUUCGAAAAGCAUCCGUUAUACAAGUUAUGGCGAUACUCCCGAACUCCCGCCCCAUUACGGGGUGGCGUCGAGGUUAUCUCACCAACGAACUACAUAAAAGAGAUUUUCGAUGUCGGCGUACUAAACUCAGGUAUUCCAGAACUGCAACGAUAAAAUUAUGACGACAACACCUCAGAGCUCAACUCCCCGGGACACUUCCACAAAACCCCUGACAGGAGGCACCAAGACAAUGUUCUCGUCAUAAAACCAUCGGAACGAUUCCAAGAUACCCGUGUGAUCCUAAAAAAAAUUAGUGAAAUUUGAGAAAAGAAGAGUCAAAACUCUACGUCAGGAUGCUUUACCAGAGCGAUGAGGAGACUGGGAAGUAAAAAAGAAUUCCUAAACUCUCCGAUAUAUAAUUCCUAAAUGACUCAAAACAUUUUUCUAGACACAACUCAGCCGCUAAUAAUGAUCAAGCAAUGGGGCUCCUAAGGUCGGGGAAGGCUCUAAUUACCAACUUGUAACACCCUCGAUGCGACUAUAUCUCCCACGUGUCGAGGCACGACUUAGAGGCAUAAUCGCAUUAAAGGCAUAUGUCGCAAAUUAGGCAAUCUUCACAACAUCCCAUGUAGUAUAGAUAAUAAAAGGGGAGAUAACAUAGUUGGCUUACACUCGCCACGUCAAUCAAGGUACAUAAAUAACAUUACAUCAUCCAAACACUCAUGGCCCGACUACGGCACCAAAAUAAAAGAUAACCCAACAUGCGACACGGUCCCGAUCGCCCCCAACUGGGCACCACUACUGAUCAUCAGGAAAGGAAACAUAGUAUUGUUGAGAGUGUUGGAGAACGUAGUAAUUUCAAAAAAAUUCCUAUGCACAUGCAAGAUCAUGGUGAUGCAUAGCAACGAGAGGGGAGAGUGUGAUCUACGUAUUUGUAGACCGACAGCGGAAGCGUUAGCACAACGCGGUUGAUGUAGUCGUACGUCUUCACGGCCCGACCGAUCAAGCACCGAAACUAUGGCACCUCCGAGUUUUAGCAUACGUUUAGCUCGAUGACGAUCCCCGGACUCCGAUCCAGCAAAGUGUCGGGGAAGAGUUCCGUCAGCACGACGGCGUGGUGACGAUCUUGAUGUACUAUCGUCGCAGGGCUUCGCCUAAGCACCGCUACAAUAUUGUCGAGGAUUAUGGUGGAAGGGGGCACCGCACACGGCUAAGAAUAUGAUCACGUGGAUCAACUUGUGUGUCUAGGGGUGCCCCCUGCCCCCGUAUAUAAAGGAUCAAGGGGAGGAGGCCGGCCGGCCCCUAUGGCGCGCCAAGGAGGAGUCCUCCUCCUAGUAGGAGUAGGACUCCUACUAGGAGGGGGAAAGAAGUGGGGAGGGAGAAGGAAAGGGGGGCGCCGCCCCCCCCUCUCCUAGUCCAAUUUGGACCAGGGGGGAGGAGGCGCGCGGCCCACCUUUGGCUGCCCCUUUCCCUCUCCACUAAGGCCCAUAUGGCCCAUUACUUCUCCCGGGGGGGUUCCGGUAACCCUCCGGCUCUCCGGUUUUCUCCGAAAUCACCCGGAACACUUCCGGUGUCCGAAUGUAGCCGUCCAAUAUAUCAAUCUUUAUGUCUCGACCAUUUAGAGACUCCUCGUCAUGUUCGUGAUCACAUCCGGGACUCCGAACUAACUUCGGUACAUCAAAACUCAUAAACUCAUAAUAUAACUGUCAUUGAAACCUUAAGCGUGCGGACCCUACGGGUUCGAGAACAAUGUAGACAUGACCGAGACACGUAUCCGGUCAAUAACCAAUAGCGGAACCUAGAUGCUCAUAUUGGCUCCUACAUAUUCUACGAAGAUCUUUAUCGGUCAGACUGCAUAACAACAUACGUUGUUCCCUUUGUCAUCGGUAUGUUACUUGCCCGAGAUUCGAUCGUCGGUAUCUCAAUACCUAGUUCAAUCUUGUUACCGGCAAGUCUCUUUACUCGUUUCGUAAUACAUCAUCUCGCAACUAACUCAUUAGUUGCAAUGCUUGCAAGGCUUAAGUGAUGUGCAUUACCGAGAGGGCCCAGAGAUACCUCUCCGACAAUCGGAGUGACAAAUCCUAAUCUCGAAAUAUGCCAACCCAACAUGUACCUUUGGAGACACCUGUAGAGUACCUUUAUAAUCACCCAUUUAUGUUGUGACGUUUGGUAGCACACAAAGUGUUGCUCCGGCAAACGGGAGUUGCAUAAUCUCAUAGUCAUAGGAACAUGUAUAAGUCAUGAAGAAAGCAAUAACAACAUACUAAACGAUCGGGUGCUUAGCUAAUGGAAUGGGUAAUGUCAAUCAGAUCAUUCACCUAAUGAUGUGAUCCCGUUAAUCAAAUAACAACUCUUUGUUCAUGGUUAGGAAACAUAACCAUCUUUGAUUAACGAGCUAGUCAAGUAGAGGCAUACUAGUGACACUCCGUUUGUCUAUGUAUUCACACAUGUAUUAUGUUUCCGGUUAAUACAAUUCUAGCAUGAAUAAUAAACAUUUAUCAUGAUAUAAGGAAAUAAAUAAUAACUUUAUUAUUGCCUCUAGGGCAUAUUUCCUUCAGAGAGUCCUCGUCGAACUCCCACUUGAGCUCAAGCGCGUCACCUGGAGUGGAAUCAUCAGGCCCUGCAUCUGGUUUAAUAGUAAUCUGUGAGCCAGAGGGACUCAGCAAUCUCGCACCCUCGCGAUCAAGACUAUUUAAGCUUAUAGGUAAGGCAAGGUAAAUAUGUGGAGCUGCAGCAAGCGACUAGCAUAUAUGGUGGCUAUCCUGUUCGCAAAAGAGGGCGAGAAGAGAAGGCUAAGCGCGAAUGAAUAACUAGAGAGCAACCUGCGCAAACAUUACUCCAACACCGUGUCCACUUCCCGGACUCCGCCGAGAAGAGGCCAUCACGGUAACUCACACUGUUGAUUCAUUUUAAUUAAGUUAAGGUUCAAGUUGUCUACAACCGGACAUUAACAAAUUCCCAUCUGCCCAUAACCACGGGCACGGCUUUCGAAAGUUCAAAUCCCUGCAGGGGAGUCCCAACUUAGCCCAUGAUAAGCUCUCACGGUCAACGAAGGAAUAGACCUCCUCCCGAGACGUUCCGAUCAGACUCGGUAUCUCGGUUCUUCAAGACACUUCGACAGGUUAAAACAAAUCCAGCAACACCGUCCGAAUGUGCCGACAAAUCCCGAUAGGAGCUGCACAUAUCUCUUUCUCAGGGCACACUCAGAUUGUCUUAGGUACGGGUAGGCCAGCCCAGAGUUGCCCCUGGUGGCCACCGGCAGCUGACAGGUGGACCAACACUCAGAGGAGCACUGGCCCGGGGGGGUUUAAAAUAAGAUGACCCUCGGGCUUCGGAAACCCAAGGGAAAAAGAGGCUAGGUGGAAAAUGGUAAAACCAAGGUUGGGCAUUGCUGGAAAAUCUUUAAUCAAGGCGAACUAUCAAGGGGUUCCCAUUAUAACCCAACCGCGUAAGGAACGCAAAAUCCGGGAACAUAACACCGAUAUGAUGGAAACUAGGGCGGCAAGAGUGGAACAAAACACUAGGCGAGAGGCCGAGCCUUCCACCCUUUACCAAGUAUAUAGAUGCAUUAAGAUAACAUGCCAAUAUAAUGAUAUCCCAACAAGUAAAUAAAUGUUCCAACAAGGAACGGUCUCCAAUCUUCACCUGCAACUAGCAACGCUAUAAGAGGGGUUGAGCAAAGCGGUAACAUAGCCAAUCAACAGUUUGCUAGGACAUGGUGGGUUAGAGGUUUGACAUGGCAAUUUGGGAGGCUUGAAAGCAAGUGGUAGGCAUCGUUGCAUUGGCAUAGCAAAAGAGCGAGCAUCUAGCAAAGCAAAGAUAGUAGUGAUUUUGAGGGUAUGAUCAUCUUGCCUGCAAAGUUGUCAAAGUUGACUGGAUCCUCGAAAGCAAACUCAACGGGCUCCUCGUUAGCGACCUCGUCUCCCGGCUCUACCCAAACAAGACAAACAAGCAAACAGAACACAAUCAACCACGUGCAAAGCUCAAACAAUAUGAUGCAAAGAUGAUAUGCUAUGCGGGAUGCAUAUGCAAGAUUUGAUAAGGAAUUCACGAACCUGGCCUCAACUUGGGAAUCCAAGUGUGCCACUGGAAAGAUGAGAUGAAAUCGCUUGAAAACGAUAUAAAGAUCACCGGAAUCGGGGUUACGGUUUGGAAAUGGCAAGCAAAUCAAAUAUGAUCACGUUCUGCGAUUUACAGCAAGUAGCCAUCUAAAUGCAAUGAGAUGAACAAGCUACAGCACCCAAACAUGGCAUAAAAAUACAUGGCAGGGAUGCAUUCCUGAUUCUUAACAAAAGUCUAGCACUGAGCUACGGCCAAUUCAUCUAUUAACAGGUUCAAACAAGCAUGGCAAAAAUGCAUAUGGUAAACAGAUUUCAGACUUAGUGAAAUUAACACUUGUCUGGAAUUUCAGAUCAGGUAGCACUCUUCGGAGCAUGAAAACUAUAUGCUACAGGACCUGAACAUGGCAAAGUAAAACAUGGCAUGGAGCUACUCAAAGCGCUUAACAAAAGUCCCUUAGUGAACUGGAGCCAAAAGGGAUCAGAAAAUACAUUUGCAAGCAUGUGAACAUGGCAAAAACAUAAUCAGAUCAUAGACUUAGUGAAAACUGGAGCAUGCUGAAAACAGAUAUCAAGUAGGCAUGUUUAUGAGCUCGAUGCACUCACUACAUAGCAAGUCAUGACAAUCUAUGAAUACACCCAUCAAGAAUACACAAAAUGCAAGCUAGACAUGGCAAGAACAAUAACAUAGCAUGCACGGAUCAACUAAAACAUCCUCGGCAAAAUUGCUAACAAGUAGACAAUCUGCCCAGAUUCACGAAAUAGCAAAAGUAGAGCUCGGUUGACUCAAGCUAGGGUGCUCCAUAAUUGCAAACAAAGACAUGGAUGGAUAGAGAACUACAAGAUUAACAAAACAUCCUUACUUAUCAUCCUCAAAAGAGGCACGGAUCACUAGGAAACAACAUGAACAUAUGGCCAUAUGAGAUAACCAGAUCAAGGACUUAGUGGAAUUGCAAAGUCCUUGAAAUCAGCAUUACCAAGUGCCUCACUUUGCAAGCUUGUGCUAGUCAGCACACACAUCACAAAAAUACAUGGGUUGCACCUCUGGAAAGAUGGCAAAACCCUUAACAAAACAUAUGUAGAGCUCAUGGGCAUAUCAUGCACACAAUAAUCAUGGCAAAAAUGACAAAUAUCUAAAUGGAGUAGCAGAUCUGACAAUUAUCUCAAGUAGCACUCUUCCAACAGCAUUUAGGGCAUUAAGAUGAACUCAAAUUAAAAUGAUGCAAUGCGACGAAAUGAUGUGCUCUCUGAGGCGAACAUUUUGAUAUGCUAUAUGCCCAAAACGGAGCUACGGAUGAGGAGUUACGGCACGAUAAACAAGGGCAUAUGAACUAGGGUUAGGGAGAAAGUCAACCGUCGUUUUGGAUCUAGAUCCAGAUCCGGAUCGCGCGUGUUUCGAGGUUCGCCGAAGACCUGUUCGCCGGAGUAGCCGCGGGGCGUCGCUGGAGGUCGGAGACGAGGAGGGAGAGGCCGGGGCGAUGUGGGCCUCGGGGGAGAGGUCGCCGGCGGGUGUACCGCGCGGCGCCGCGCCUGUCGGGAGGCGGCGGGGUCGGUCCGGCGGGCUCGCAGCCNNNNNNNNNNNNNNNNNNNNNNNNNNNNNNNNNNNNNNNNNNNNNNNNNNNNNNNNNNNNNNNNNNNNNNNNNNNNNNNNNNNNNNNNNNNNNNNNNNNNNNNNNNNNNNNNNNNNNNNNNNNNNNNNNNNNNNNNNNNNNNNNNNNNNNNNNNNNNNNNNNNNNNNNNNNNNNNNNNNNNNNNNNNNNNNNNNNNNNNNNNNNNNNNNNNNNNNNNNNNNNNNNNNNNNNNNNNNNNNNNNNNNNNNNNNNNNNNNNNNNNNNNNNNNNNNNNNNNNNNNNNNNNNNNNNNNNNNNNNNNNNNNNNNNNNNNNNNNNNNNNNNNNNNNNNNNNNNNNNNNNNNNNNNNNNNNNNNNNNNNNNNNNNNNNNNNNNNNNNNNNNNNNNNNNNNNNNNNNNNNNNNNNNNNNNNNNNNNNNNNNNGGGCGCGGCGCCGAUGGCCUCGGGCGGCCGGACGCGAGGAGGGUGGUGGCGGCUUGCGAACAUGAGGCGGCGGGGCGAUGUGGGCCUCGGGGGCCCCGAGCGCUGCGGCGGCGAAGUGGGCGCGUGGGCGCCACGUGGCAAGAUCUGGUAGGUCGGCGGCGGUGGGCGGACAAUGUCCGGCCGUCCGGAUUUUGUCCGGCGGCUGGAGGAGGAGGAGGGUUAGGGUUUCUCCUGAGAUUUCAAUGGGGAAGAUAUAUAUAGGCAUAGAGGGAGCUAGGAGAGUCCAAAUGAGGUGCGGUUUUCGGCCACGCGAUCGUGAUCGAACUCUCUAGAUGAUGGAGAAGGUUUAGGUGGGUUUUGGGCCAACUUGGAAGGGUGUUGGGCUGCAACACACACGAGGCCUUUACGGUCCCUCGGUUAACCGUUGGAGUAUCAAACAAAGUCCAAAUGAUACGAAACUUGACAGGCGGUCUACCGGUAGUAAACCAAGGCCGCUUGGCAAGUCUCGGUCUAAUCCGGAAAUGUUUAAUCCCCACACACGAAAGAAAGGUAGAAAUGACCACCGGAGGAGAACGAAGCGCCGGAAUGCAAAACGGACAACGGGGAAAAUGCUCGAAUGCAUGAGAUGAACAUGUAUGCAAAUGCAAUGCACAUGAUGACAUGAUAUGAGAUGCAUGACAACGACAAAAACACACGGAGACAAAAACCCAAACCCGAGGAAAUAAAAUAACAUAAGGCCAGAAAUAGCAAGAGUUGGAAUACAUAGUGGGAAAGUCAUAUCCGGGGUGUUACAAAUAAUGUGUUAGGCUCAGGCUAGAGAAGAAAUAGGGAACAAACUUAUGAAAGAAUGAUCAUACCGAGGGAAUUCACUCAGAACUAACAAGAAUGAUCACGUGCUCCGACUGGAGCGCUUAGGAACUGCUGGAAGGAUCUAGGGGAAUAAAGAUGGAAUGACUUCAAAUUUUUAGGCCCAUAUGAUUUGAAAUACUUGCACACAAACCGCGAGAAAGCGUUCCUGGAAAUCUCAGCCCAAAAAAGGAUGUUUAGUAAUUCUAAAAGGGACUACAGGAUGAAAAACAAUAGUUUUGGCAGUUAAAGUUUGAGAUUUGACGGUGUCGUAGAUCCGUUUGGUCAUCAGGUGUUACGAGCCACACCCAUGUCUAGCUAGAAUAGUGUGUUAGGCUCAGGCUAGAGAAGAAACGGGGAACAAACUGAUGAAAGAAUGAUCAAACCGAGGGGAUUCACUCAGAACUAACAAGAAUGAUAACGUGCUCCGACUAGAGCGGUUUAGGAACUUCUGGAAGGCUCUAGGGGAAUAAAGAUGGAAUGACUUCUAAUUUUUAGGUCCGUAUGAUUUGAAAUACUUUCACACAAACCGCGCGAAAGCGUUCCUGGAAAUCUCAGCCCCAAAAAGGACGUUUAGUAAUUCUAGAAGGGACUAUAGGAUGAAAAACAAUAGUUUUGGUAGUUAAAGUUUGAGAUUCGAUGGUGCCGUGGAUCCGUUUGGUCAUCAGGUGUUACGAGCCACACCCAUGUCUAGCUAGAAUAGUAUGUUAGGCUCAGGUUAGAGAAGAAACGGGGAACAAACUGAUGAAAAAAUGAUCAUACCAAGGGAAUUCACUCAGAACUAACAAGAAUGAUAACGUGCUCCGACUGGAGCGGUUUAGGAACUGCUGGAAGGCUCUAGGGGAAUAAAGAUGGAAUGACUUCUAAUUUUUACGUCCGUAUGAUUUGAAAUACUUGCACACAAACCACGCAAAAGCGUUCCUGGAAAUCUCAGCCUAAAAAAGGACGUUUAGUAAUUCUAAAAGGGACUACAGGAUGAAAAAUAAUAGUUUGGGCAGUUAAAAUUUGAGAUUCAACGGUGCCGUAGAUCCGUUUGGUCAUGAGGUGUUACGAGCCACACCCAUGUCUAGCUAGAAUAGUGUGUUAGGCUCAGGCUAGAGAAGAAACGGGGAACAAAUUGAUGAAAGAAUGAUCAUACCGAGGGAAUUCACUCAGAACUAACAAGAAUGAUAACGUGCUCCGACUGGAGCAGUUUGGAAACUGUUGGUAGGCUCUAGGGGAAUAAAGAUGGAAUCACUUCAAAUUUUUAGGUCCGUAUGAUUUGAAAUACUGGCACACAAACCGCGCGAAAGUGUUCCUGGAAAUCUCAGCCCAAAAAAGGACGUUUAGUAAUUCUAAAAGGGACUACAGGAUGAAAAACAAUACUUUUGGCAGUUAAAGUUUGAGAUUCGACGGUGCCGUAGAUCUGUUUGGUCAUCAGGUGUAACGAGCCACACCCAUGUCUAGCUAGAGUAGUGUGCUAGGCUCAGACUAGAGAAGAAACGGGGAACAAAGUGAUGAAAGAAUGAUCAUACCGAGGGAAUUCACUCAGAACUAACAAGAAUGAUAACGUGCUCCGACUGGAGCGGUUUAGGAACUGCUGGAAGGCUCUAGGGAAAUAAAGAUGGAAUGACUUCUAAUUUUUAGGUCCAUAUCAUUUGAAAUACGUGCACACAAACCCCGAGAAAGCGUUCCUGGAAAUCUCGGCCGAAAAAAGGAUGUUUAAUAAUUCUAAAAGGGACUACAGGAUGAAAAACAAUAGUUUUGGCAGUUAAAGUUUGAGAUUUGACGGUGCCGUAGAUCUGUUUGGUCAUCAGGGGUUACGAGCCACACCCAUGUCUAGCUAGAAUAGUGUGUUAGGCUCAGGCUAGAGAAGAAACGGGGAACAAAUUGAUGAAAGAAUGAUCAUACCGAGGGAAUUCACUCAGAACUAACAAGAAUGAUAACGUGCUCCGACUGGAGCAGUUUGGAAACUGUUGGUAGGCUCUAGGGGAAUAAAGAUGGAAUCACUUCUAAUUUUUAGGUCCGUAUGAUUUGAAAUACAUGCACACAAACCCCAAGAAAGCGUUCCUGGAAAUCUCGCCCCGAAAAACGACGUUUAGUAAUUCUAAAAGGGACUACAGGAUGAAAAACAAUACUUUUGGCAGUUAAAGUUUGAGAUUCGACGGUGCCGUAGAUCUGUUUGGUCAUCAGGUGUAACGAGCCACACCCAUGUCUAGCUAGAGUAGUGUGCUAGGCUCAGACUAGAGAAGAAACGGGGAACAAAGUGAUGAAAGAAUGAUCAUACCGAGGGAAUUCACUCAGAACUAACAAGAAUGAUAACAUGCUCCGACUGGAGCGGUUUAGGAAGUGCUGGAAGGCUCUAGGGAAAUAAAGAUGGAAUGACUUCUAAUUUUUAGGUCCAUAUCAUUUGAAAUACGUGCACACAAACCCCGAGAAAGCGUUCCUGGAAAUCUCGGCCGAAAAAAGGAUGUUUAAUAAUUCUAAAAGGGACUACAGGAUGAAAAACAAUAGUUUUGGCAGUUAAAGUUUGUGAUUCGAUGGUGCCGUAGAUCUGUUUGGUCAUCAGGUGUUACGAGCCACACCCAUGUCUAGCUAGAACAGUGUGUUAGGCUCAGGCUAGAGCAGAAACGGGGAACAAACUUAUGAAAGAAUGAUCAUACCGAGGGAAUUCACUCAGAACUAACAAGAAUGAUAACGUGCUCCAACUGGAGCGGUUUAGGAACUGCUGGAAGGCUCUAGGGGAAUAAAGAUGGAAUGACUUCAAAUUUUUAGGUCCGUAUGAUUUGAAAUACUUGCACACAAACCGCUAGAAAGCGUUCCUGGAAAUCUCAGCCCAAAAAAGGACGUUUAGUAAUUCUAAAAGGGACUACAGGAUGAAAAACAAUAGUUCUGGCAGUUAAAGUUUGAGCUUCGAUAAUGUCGUAGAUCCGUUUGGUCAUCAGGUGUAACGAGCCACACCCAUUUCUAGCUAGAGUAGUGUGCUAGGCUCAGACUAGAGAAGAAAUGGGCAACAAACUAAUGAAAGAAUGAUCAUACCGAGGGAAUUCACUCAGAACUAACAAGAAUGAUAACGUGCUCCGACUGGAGCGGUUUAGGAACUGCUGGAAGGCUCUAGGGGAAUAAAGAAGGAAUGACUUCUAAUUUUUAGGUCCGUAUGAUUUGAAAUGUGUGCACACAAACCCCGAGAAAGCAUUCCUGGAAAUCUCGGCCCAAAAAAGGACGUUUAGUAAUUCUAAAAGGGACUACAGGAUGAAAAACAAUAGUUUUGGCAGUUAAAGUUUGAGAUUCGAUAAUGCCGUAGAUCCGUUUGGUCAUCAGGUGUAACGAGCCACACCCAUGUCUGGUUAGAGUAGUGUGCUAGGCUCAGACUAGAUAAGAAACGGGGAACAAACUGAUGAAAGAAUGAUCAUACCGAGCGAAUUCACUCAGAACUAACAAGAAUGAUAACAUGCUCCGACUGGAGCGGUUUAGGAACUGCUGGAAGGCUCUAGGGGAAUAAAGAUGGAAUGACUUCUAAUUUUUAGGUCCGUAUGAUUUGAAAUACUUGCACACAAACCACGCGAAAGCGUUCCUGGAAAUCUCAGCCCAAAAAAGGACGUUUAGUAAUUCUAAAAGGGACUACAGGAUGAAAAACAAUAGUUUUGGCAGUUAAAGUUUGAGAUUCGACAGUGCCGUAGAUCCGUUUGGUCAUCAGGUAUUACGAGCCACACCCAUGUCUAGCUAGAAUAGUGUGCUAGGCUCAGGCUAGAGAAGAAACGGGGAACAAACUGAUGAAAGAAUGAUCAAACCGAGGGAAUUCACUCAGAACUAACAAUAAUGAUAACGUGCUCCGACUGGUGCGGUUUAGGAACUGCUGGAAGGCUCUAGGGGAAUAAAGAUGGAAUGACUUCUAAUUUUUAGGUCCGUAUGAUUUGAAAUACUUGCACACAAACCGCGCGAAAGCGUUCCUGGAAAUCUCAGCCCAAAAAAGGACGUUUAGUAAUUUUAAAAGGGACUAUAGGAUGAAAAACAAUAGUUUUGGCAAUUAAAGUUUGAGAUUCGACGGUGUCGUAGAUCCGUUUGGUCAUCAGGUGUUACGAGCCACACCCAUGUCUAGCUAGAAUAGUAUGUCAGGCUCAGGUUAGAGUAGAAACGGGGAACAAACUGAUGAAAGAAUGAUCAUACCAAGGGAAUUCACUCAGAACUAUCAAGAAUGAUAACGUGCUCCGACUGGAGUGAUUUAGGAACUGCUGGAAGGCUCUAGGGGAAUAAAGAUGGAAUGACUUCUAAUUUUUACGUCCGUAUGAUUUGAAAUACUUGCACACAAAUCACGCAAAAGCGUUCCUGGAAAUCUCAGCCUAAAAAAGGACGUUUAGUAAUUCUAAAAGGGACUACAGGAUGAAAAACAAUAGUUUGGGCAGUUAAAAUUUGAGAUUCGACGGUGCCGUAGAUCCGUUUGGUCAUCAGGUGUUACGAGCGACACCCUUGUCUAGCUAGAAUAGUGUGUUAGGCUCAGACUAGAGAAGAAACGGGGAACAAAGUGAUGAAAGAAUGAUCAUACCGAGGGAAUUCACUCAGAACUAACAAGAAUGAUAACGUGCUCCGACUGGAGCGGUUUAGUAACUGCUGGAAGGCUCUAGGGGAAUGAAGAUGGAAUGACUUCUAAUUUUUAGGUCCGUAUGAUUUGAAAUACAUGCACACAAACCCUGAGAAAGCGUUCCUGGAAAUCUCGGUCGAAAAAAGGAUGUUUAAUAAUUCUAAAAGGGACUACCGGAUGAAAAACAAUAGUUUUGGCAGUUAAAGUUUGUGAUUCGAUGGUGCCGUAGAUCUGUUUGGUCAUCAGGUGUUACGAGCCACACCCAUGUCUAUCUAGAAUAGUGUGUUAGGCUCAGGCUAGAGCAGAAACGGGGAACAGACUUAUGAAAGAAUGAUCAUACCGAGGGAAUUCACUCAGAACUAACAAGAAUGAUAACGUGCUCCGACUGGCGCGGUUUAGGAACUGCUGGAAGGCUCUAGGGGAAUAAAGAUGGAAAGACUUCUAAUUUUUAGGUCCGUAUGAUUUGAAAUACUUGCACACAAACCGCACGAAAGCGUUCCUGGAAAUCUCAGCCUAAAAAGGAUGUUUAGUAAUUCUAAAAGGGACUACAAGAUGAAAAAUAAUAGUUUGGGCAGUUAAAAUUUGAGAUUCGACGAUGCCGUAGAUCCGUUUGGUCAUCAGGUGUUAUGAGCCACACCCAUGUCUAGCUAGAAUAGUGUGUUAGGCUCAGGCUAGAGAAGAAACGGGGAACAAACUGAUGAAAGAAUGAUCAUACCGAGGGAAUUCACUCAGAACUAACAAGAAUGAUAACGUGCUCCGACUGGAGCAGUUUAGAAACUGCUGGAAGGCUCUAAUGGAAUAAAGAUGGAAUGCCUUCAAAUUUCUAGGUCCGUAUGAUUUGAAAUACUUGCACACAAACCGCUCGAAAGCGUUCCUGGAAAUCUCAGCCCAAAAAAGGACGUUUAGUAAUUCUAAAAGGGACUACAGGAUGAAAAACAAUAGUUUUGGCAGUUAAAGUUUGAGAUUCGAUGGUGCCGUAGAUCCGUUUGGUCAUCAGGUGUAACGAGCCACACACAUGUCUAGCUAGAGUAGUGUGCUAGGCUCAGACUAGAGAAGAAACGGGGAACAAAGUGAUGAAAGAAUGAUCAUACCGAGGGAAUUCACUCAGAACUUACAAGAAUGAUAACGUGCUCCGACUGGAGCGCUUUAGUAACUGCUGGAAGGCUCUAGGCGAAUAAAGAUGGAAUGACUUCUAAUUUUUAGGUCCGUAUGAUUUGAAAUACUUGCACACAAACCACGCAAAACCGUUCCUAGAAAUCUCGGUCGAAAAAAGGACGUUUAGUAAUUCUAAAAGGGACUACAGGAUGAAAAACAAUAGUUUUGGCAGUUAAAGUUUGAGAUUCGAUGGUGCCGUAGAUCCGUUUGGUCAUCAGGUGUUACGAGCCACACCCAUGUCUAGCUAGAGUAGUGUGCUAGGUUCAGACUAGAGAAGAAACGGGGAACAAAGUGAUUAAAGAAUGAUCAUACCGAGGGAAUUCACUCAGAACUAACAAGAAUGAUAACGUGCUCCGACUGGAGCGGUUUAGGAACUGCUGGAAGGCUCUAGGGGAAUAAAGAUGGAAUGACUUCUAAUUUUUACGUCCGUAUGAUUUGAAAUACAUGCACACAAACCACGCAAAAGCGUUCCUGGAAAUCUCAGCCUAAAAAAGGACGUUUAGUAAUUCUAAAAGGGACUACAGGAUGAAAAAUAAUAGUUUGGGCAGUUAAAAUUUGAGAUUCGACGCUGCCGUAGAUCCGUUUGGUCAUCAGGUCUUACGAGCCACACCCAUGUCUAGCUAGAAUAGUGUGUUAGGCUCAGGCUAGAGAAGAAACGGGGAACAAACUGAUGAAAGAAUGAUCAUACCGAGGGAAUUCACUCAGAACUAACAAGAAUGAUAACGUGCUCCGACUGGAGCAGUUUAGAAACUCCUGGAAGGCUCUAGGGGAAUAAAGAUGGAAUGACUUCAAAGUUUUAGGUCCGUAUGAUUUGAAAUACUUGCACACAAACCGCGUGAAAGCGUUCCUGGAAAUCUCAACCCAAAAAAGGGCGUUUAGUAAUUCUAAAAGGGACUACAGGAUGUAAAACAAUAGUUUUGGCAGUUAAAGUUUGAGAUUCGAUGGUGCCGUAGAUCCGUUUGGUCAUCAGGUGUAACGAGCCACACCCAUGUCUAGCUAGAGUAGUGUGCUAGGCUCAGACUAGAGAAGAAACGGGGAACAAAGUGAUGAAAGAAUGAUCAUACCGAGGGAAUUCACUCAUAACUAACAAGAAUGAUAACGUGCUCUGACUUGAGCGGUUUAGGAACUGCUGGAAGGCUAUAGGGGAAUAAAGAUGGAAUGACUUCAAAUUUUUAGGUCCGUAUGAUCUGAAAUACUUGCACACAAACCGCGAGAAAGCGUUCCUGGAAAUCUCAACCCAAAAAAGGACGUUUAGUAAUUCUAAAAGGGACUACAGGAUGAAAAACAAUAGUUCUGGCAGUUAUUGUUUGAGAUUCGAUAAUCUCGUAGAUCCGUUUGGUCAUCAGGUGUAACGAGCCACACCCAUGUCUAGCUAGAGUAGUGUGCUAGGCUCAGACUAGAGAAGAAACGGGGAACAAACUGAUGAAAGAAUGAUCAUACCGAGGGAAUUCACUUAGAACUAACAAGAAUGAUAACGUGCUCCGACUGGAGCGGUUUAGGAACUGCUGGAAGGCUCUAGGGGAAUAAAGAAGGAACGACUUCUAAUUUUUAGGUCCGUAUGAUUUGAAAUAUGUGCACACAAACCACGAGAAAGCGUUCCUAGAAAUCUCGGCCCAAAAGAGGACGUUUAGUAUUCUAAAAGGGACUACAGAAUGAAAAACAAUAGUUUUGGCAGUUAAAGUUUGAGAUUUGACGGUGCCGUAGAUCUGUUUGGUCAUCAGGGGUUACGAGCCACACCCAUGUCUAGCUAGAAUAGUGUGUUAGGCUCAGGCUAGAAAAGAAACGGGGAACAAAGUGAUGAAAGAAUGAUCAUACCGAGGGAAUUCACUCAGAACUAACAAGAAUGAUAACAUGCUCCGACUGGAGCGGUUUAGGAACUGCUGGAAGGCUCUAGGGGAAUAAAGAUGGAAUGACUUCUAAUUUUUAGGUCCGUAUGAUUUGAAAUACUUGCACACAAACCGCGCGAAAGCGUUCCUGGAAAUCUCAGCCCAAAAAAGGACGUUUAGUAAUUCUAAAAGGGACUACAGGAUGAAAAACAAUAGUUUUGGCAGUUAAAGUAUGAGAUUCAACGGUGCCGUAGAUCCGUUUGGUCAUUAGGUGUUACGAGCCACACCCAUGUCUAGCUAGAAUAGUGUGCUAGGCUCAGGCUAGAGAAGAAACGGGGAACAAACUGAUGAAAGAAUGAUCAAACCGAGGGAAUUCACUCAGAACUAACAAUAAUGAUAACGUGCUCCGACUGGAGCGGUUUAGGAACUGCUGGAAGUCUCUAGGGGAAUAAAGAUGGAAUGACUUCUAAUUUUUACGUUCGUAUGAUUUGAAAAACUUGCCCAUAAACCGCGCGAAAGUGUUCCUGGAAAUCUCAGCCCAAAAAAGGACGUUUAGUAAUUUUAAAAGGGACUACACGAUGAAAAACAAUAGUUUUGGCAGGUAAAGUUUGAGAUUCGACAGUGCCGUAGAUCCGUUUGGUCAUCAGGUGUUACGAGCCACACCCAUGUCUAGCUAGAAUAGUAUGUUACGCUCAGGUUAGAGAAGAAACGGGGAACAAACUGAUGAAAGAUGAUCAUACCAAGGGAAUUCACUCAGAACUAACAAGAAUGAUAACGUGCUCCGACUGGAGCGGUUUAGGAACUGCUGGAAGGCUCUAGGGGAAUAAAGAUGGAAUGACUUCUAAUUUUUACGUCUGUAUGAUUUGAAAUACUUGCACACAAACAACGCAAAAGCAUUCCUGGAAAUCUCAUCCUAAAAAAGGACGUUUAGUAAUUCUAAAAGGGACUACAGGAUGAAAAAUAAUAGUUUGGGAAGUUAAAAUUUGAGAUUCGAUAGUGCCGUAGAUCCGUUUGGUCAUCAGGUGUUAGGAGCCACACCCAUGUCUAGCUAGAAUAGUGUGUUAGGCUCAGGCUAGAGAAGAAACAGGGAACAAACUGAUGAAAGAAUGAUCAUACCGAGGGAAUUCACUCAGAACUAGCAAGAAUGAUAACGUGCUCCGACUGGAGCAGUUUUGAAACUGCUGGAAGGCUCUAGGGGAAUAAUGAUGGAAUGACUUCUAAGUUUUUGGUCCGUAUGAUUUGAAAUACGUGCACACAAACCCAGAGAAAGUGUUCUUGGAAAUCUCGGCCGAAAAAAGGAUGUUUAAUAAUUCUAAAAGGGACUACAGGAUGAAAAACAAUAGUUUUGGCAGUUAAAGUUUGUGAUUCGAUGGUGCUGUAGAUCUGUUUGGUCAUCAGGUGUUAUGAGCCACACCCAUGUCUAGCUAGAACAGUGUGUUAGGCUCAGGCUAGAGCAGAAACGGGGAACAAACUUAUGAAAGAAUGAUCAUACCGAGGGAAUUCACUCAGAACUAACAAGAAUGAUAACGUGCUCCGACUGGAGAGGUUUAGGAACUGCUGGAAGGCUCUAGGGGAAUAAAGAUGGAAUGACUUCAAAUUUUUAGGUCUGUAUGAUCUGAAAUACUUGCACACAAACCGCGAGAAAGCGUUCCUGGAAAUCUCAGCCCAAAAAAGGACGUUUAGUGAUUCUAAAAGGGACUACGGGAUAAAAAACAAUAGUUUUGGCAGUUAAAGUUUGAGAUUCGAUAAUGCCGUAGAUCCGUUUGGUCAUCAGGUGUAACGAGCCACACCCAUGUCUAGCUAGAGUAGUGUGCUAGGCUCAUACUAGAGAAGAAAUGGGGAACAAACUGAUGAAAGAAUGAUCAUACCGAGGGAGUUCACUCAAAACUAACAUGAAUGAUAACGUGCUCCGACUGGAGCGGUUUAGGAACUGCUGGAAGGCUCUAGGGGAAUAAAGAUGGAAUGACUUCUAAUUUUUAGGUCCGUAUGAUUUGAAAUACAUGCACACAAACCCCAAGAAAGCGUUCCUGGAAAUCUCGCCCCGAAAAACGACGUUUAGUAAUUCUAAAAGGGACUAUAGGAUGAAAAACAAUAGUUUUGGCAGUUAAAGUUUGAGAUUUGACGGUGCCGUAGAUCUGUUUGGUCAUCAGGUGUUACGAGCCACACCCAUUUCUAGCUAGAAUAGUGUGUUAGGCUCAGGCUAGAAAAGAAACGGGGAACAAAGUGAUGAAAGAAUGAUCAUACCGAGGGAAUUCACUCAGAACUAACAAGAAUGAUAACAUGGUCCGACUGGAGCGGUUUAGGAACUGCUGGAAGGCUCUAGGGGAAUAAAGAUGGAAUGACUUCUAACUUUUAGGUCCGUAUGAUUUGAAUUACUUGCACACAAACCGCGCGAAAGCGUUCCUGGAAAUCUCAGCCCAAAAAAGGACGUUUAGUAAUUCUAAAAGGGACUACAGGAUGAAAAACAAUAGUUUUGGCAGUUAAAGUUUGAGAUUCGACGGUGCCGUAGAUCCGUUUGGUCAGCAGGUGUUACGAGCCACACCCAUGUCUAGCUAGAGUAGUGUGCUAGGUUCAGACUAGAGAAGAAAUGUUGGGGAACGUAGCAGAAAUUCAAAAUUUUCCUACGUGUCACCAAGAUCUAUCUAUGGAGAGACUAGCAACGAGGGAAGGAGAGUGCAUCUACAUACCCUUGUAGAUCGCUAAGCGGAAGCGUUCAAGUGAACGGGGUUGAUGGAGUCGUACUCGUCGUGAUUCAGCUCACCGAUGAUCCUAGUGCCGAACGGACGGCACCUCCGCGUUCAACACACGUACAGCUCGACGAUGUCUCCCACGCCUUGAUCCAGCAAGGAGAGAGGGAGAGGUUGAGGAAGACUCCAUCCAGCAGAAGCACAACGGCGUGGUGGUGAUGGAGGAGCAUGGCAAUCCUGCAGGGCUUCGCCAAGCACCUAUGGGAGAGGAGGAGGUGUCACGGGAGGGAGGGAGGCGCCAAGGGCUCAGGUAUAGAUGCCCUCCCUCCCCUCCACUAUAUAUAGGGGCAAGGGAGAGGGGGGAGGCGCAGCCUUGCCCCUUCCUCCAAGGAAGGGGUGCGGCUAAGAGGGGGGGAGGAGUCCAUCCUCCCCAAGGCACCUCGGAGGUGCCUUCCCCCUUUAGGACUCUCCCCUUUUUCCUAUAUCUUGGCGCAUGGGCCUCUAGGGGCUGGUUCCCUUGGCCCAUGUAGGCCCAGGCGCACCCCCUACAGCCCAUGUGGCCCCCCGGGGCAGGUGGCCCCACCUGGUGGGCCCCCGGGACCCUUCCGGUGGUCCCGGUACAAUACCGAUGACCCCGAAACUUGUCCCGAUGGCCGAAACAGGACUUCCUAUAUAUAAAUCUUUACCUCCGGACAAUUCCGGAACUCCUCGUGACGUCCGGGAUCUCAUCCGGGACUCCGAACAACAUUCGGUAACCACAUACAAACUUCCUUUAUAACCCUAGCGUCAUCGAACCUUAAGUGUGUAGACCCUACGGGUUCGGGAGACAUGUAGUCAUGACCGAGAUGUUCUCCGGUCAAUAACCAACAGCGGGAUCUGGAUACCCAUGUUGGCUCCCACAUGUUCCACGAUGAUCUCAUCGGAUGAACCACGAUGUCAAGGACUCAAUCAAUCCCGUAUACAAUUCCCUUUGUCUAGCGGUAUGGUACUUGCCCGAGAUUCGAUCGUCGGUAUACCGAUACCUUGUUCAAUCUCGUUACCGGCAAGUCUCUUUACUCAUUUCGUAACACAUCAUCCCGUGAUCAACCCCUUGGUCACAUUGUGCACAUUAUGAUGAUGUCCUACCGAGUGGGCCCAGAGAUACCUCUCCGUUUACACGGAGUGACAAAAUCCCAAUCUCGAUUCGUGCCAACCCAACAGACACUUUCAGAGAUACCCGUAGUGUACCUUUACAGCCACCCAGUUACGUUGUGACGUUUGGCACACCCAAAGCACUCCUACAGUAUCCGGGAGUUGCACAAUCUCAUGGUCUAAGGAAAUGAUACUUGACAUUAGAAAAGCUUUAGCAUACGAACUACAUGAUCUUGUGCUAGGCUUAGGAUUGGGUCUUGUCCAUCACAUCAUUCUCCUAAUGAUGUGAUCCCGUUAUCAACGACAUCCAAUGUCCAUGGUCAGGAAACCGUAACCAUCUAUUGAUUAACGAGCUAGUCAACUAGAGGCUUACUAGGGACAUGGUGUUGUCUAUGUAUCCACACAUGUAUCUAAGUUUCCUAUCAAUACAAUUCUAGCAUGGAUAAUAAACGAUUAUCAUGAACAAGGAAAUAUAAUAAUAAUCAAUUUAUUAUUGCCUCUAGGGCAUAUUUCCAACAGUCUCCCACUUGCACUAGAGUCAAUAAUCUAGUUCACAUCGAUAUGUGAUUAACACUCAAGGUCACAUUCCCAUGUGACUAACACCCAAGAGUUUACUAGAGUCAAUAAUCUAGUUCACAUUUACCAUGUGAUUAACACUUGAUGAGUUCUGGGUUUGAUCAUGUUAUGCUUGUGAGAGAGGUUAUAGUCAACGGGUCUGAACCUUUCAGAUCCGUGUGUGCUUUACAAAUCUCUAUGUCAUCUCCUAGAUGCAGCUACCACGUUCUAUUUGGAGCUAUUCCAAAUAACUGUUCUACUUGGAGCUAUUCUAAAUUGUUGCUCCAUUAUACGUAUCCGGUAUCUCUACUCAGAGCUAUCCGGAUAGGUGUUAAGCUUGCAUCGACGUAACCCUUUACGACGAACUCUUUUACCACCUCCAUAAUUGAGAAAAUUCCUUAGUCCACUAGUUACUAAGGAUAACUUUGACCGCUGUCCUGUGAUCCAUUCUUGGAUCACUCUUGUACCCCUUGACUGACUCAUGGUAAAGCACACUUCAGGUGCGGUACACAGCAUAGCAUACUGUAGAGCCUAUGUCUUAAGCAUAGGGGACGACCUUCGUUCCUUUCUCUCUAUUCUGCCAUGGUCGAGCUUUAAGUCUUAACUUCAUACCUUACAACUCAGGCAAGAACUCCUUCUUUGACUGAUCCAUCUUGAACACCUUCAAGAUCACGUCAAGGCAUGUGCUCACGUCAAGAUCACGUCGGUAUACCGAUACCUUGUUCAAUCUCGUUACCGGCAAGUCUCUUUACUCGUUCCGUAACACAUCAUCCCGUGAUCAACCCCUUGGUCACAUUGUGCACAUUAUGAUGAUGUCCUACCGAGUGGGCCCAGAGAUACCUCUCCGUUUACACGGAGUGACAAAAUCCCAAUCUCGAUUCGUGCCAACCCAACAGACACUUUCAGAGAUACCCGUAGUGUACCUUUAUAGCCACCCAGUUACGUUGUGACGUUUGGCACACCCAAAGCACUCCUACGGUAUCCGGGAGUUGCACAAUCUCAUGGUCUAAGGAAAUGAUACUUGACAUUAGAAAAGCUUUAGCAUACGAACUACAUGAUCUUGUGCUAGGCUUAGGAUUGGGUCUUGUCCAUCACAUCAUUCUCCUAAUGAUGUGAUCCCGUUAUCAACGACAUCCAAUGUCCAUGGUCAGGAAACCGUAACCAUCUAUUGAUUAACGAGCCAGUCAACUAGAGGCUUACUAGGGACAUGGUGUUGUCUAUGUAUCCACACAUGUAUCUGAGUUUCCUAUCAAUACAAUUCUAGCAUGGAUAAUAAACGAUUAUCAUGAACAAGGAAAUAUAAUAAUAAUCAAUUUAUUAUUGCCUCUAGGGCAUAUUUCCAACAGUCUCCCACUUGCACUAGAGUCAAUAAUCUAGUUCACAUCACCAUGUGAUUAACACUGACAGGUCACAUCACCAUGUGACCAACAUCCAAAGAGUCUUGGGUUUGAUCAUGUUGCUUGUGAGAGAGGUUAUAGUCAACGGGUCUGAACCUUUCAGAUCCGUGUGUGCUUUACAAAUCUCUAUGUCAUCUCCUAGAUGCAGCUACCACGUUCUAUUUGGAGCUAUUCCAAAUAACUGUUCUACUUGGAGCUAUUCUAAAUUGUUGCUCCAUUAUACGUAUCCGGUAUCUCUACUCAGAGCUAUCCGGAUAGGUGUUAAGCUUGCAUCGACGUAACCCUUUACGACGAACUCUUUUACCACCUCCAUAAUUGAGAAAAUUCCUUAGUCCACUAGUUACUAAGGAUAACUUUGACCGCUGUCCUGCGAUCCAUUCUUGGAUCACCCUUGUACCCCUUGACUGACUCAUGGUAAAGCACACUUCAGGUGCGGUACACAGCAUAGCAUACUGUAGAGCCUAUGUCUUAAGCAUAGGGGAUGACCUUCGUUCCUUUCUCUCUAUUCUGCCAUGGUCGAGCUUUAAGUCUUAACUUCAUACCUUACAACUCAGGCAAGAACUCCUUCUUUGACUGGUCCAUCUUGAACACCUUCAAGAUCAUGUCAAGGUAUGUGCUCAUUUGAAAGUACUAUUAAGCGUUUUGAUCUAUCCUUAUAGAUCUUGAUGCUCAAUGUUCAAGUAGCUUAAUCCAGGUUUUCCAUUGAAAACACUUUCCAAAUAACCCUAUAUGCUUUCCAGAAAUUCUACGUCAUUUCUGAUCAUUAAUAUGUCAACAACAUAUAAUCAUCAGAAAUUCUAUAGUGCUCCCACUCACUUCUUUGGAAAUACAAGUUUCUCAUAAACUUUGUAUACACCCAAAAUCUUUGAUCAUCAUCAAAGCAUACAUUCCAACUCCGAGAUGCUCACUCCAGUCCUCAGAAGGAUUGCUGGAGCUUUGCAUACUUAUUAGCAUAUUUCAGGAUAGACAAAACCUUCCAGUUGUAUCACAUACAACCUUUCCUCAAGAAUCGUCGACGAAACAAUGUUUUGACAUCCUAUCUGCAAGAUUUCAUAAAUAAUGCAGUAAUUGUUAAUAUAAUUCCAACAGACUCUUAGCAUCGCUACGAGUGAGAAAGUCUCAUUGUAGUCAACUCCUUGAACUUGUCAAAAAACAUCUUAACGACAAGUCGAGCUUUCUCAAUGGUGACACUUACCAUCAUUGUCUGUCUUCCUUUCAAAAUCCAUAUGUACCUAACAGCCUUACGACCAUCAAGUAGUUCUUCCAAAGUCUACACUUUGUUUUCAUACAUGGAUCCUCUCUCGGGUUUUAUGGCCAUGAGCCAUUUAUCGGAAUCCGGGCCCACCAUUGCUUCUCCAUAGCUCGUAGGUUCAUUGUUGUCUAGCAACAUGACUUCCAAGACAGGAUUACUGUACCACUCUGAAGUAGUACGUAUCCUUGUCACCCUACGAGGUUUGGGAGUGACUUGAUCUGAAGUUUCAUGAUCACUAUCAUAAGCUUCUACUUCAAUUGGUGUAGGUGCCACAGGAACAACUUCCUGUGCCCUGCUACACACUGGUUGAAGUGAUGGUUCAAUAACCUCAUCAAGUCUCCACCAUCCUCCCACUCAAUUCUUUCGAGAGAAACCUUUCCUCGAGAAAGGACCCAAUUCUAGAAACAAUUCAUAUUGCUUUCGGAUCUGAAUUAGGAAGUAUACCCAACUGUUUUGGGUGUCCUAUGAAGAUGUACUUUAUCCGCUUUGGUUUCGAGCUUAAUCCUGAAACUUUUUCACAUAAGUGUCGCAGCCCCAAACCUUUAAGAAACGACAACUUAGGUUUCUCUAAACCAUAAUUCAUACGGUGUCAUCUCAUCGGAAUUACGUGGUGCCCUAUUUAAAGUGAAUGUGGUUGUCUUUAAUGCCUAACCCAUAAACUAUCGUGGCAGUUCGAUAAGAGACAUCAUGGUAUGCAUCAUAUCCAAUAGGGUGCAACUAUGAUGUUCGGACACACCAUCACACUAUGGUGUUCCAGGCGGUAUUAAUUGUGAAACAAUUUCCACAAUGUCUUAAUUGUGUGCCAAAACUCGUAACUCAGAUACUCAUCUCUAUGAUCAUAUCAUAGACAUUUUAUCCUCUUGUCACAAUGAUCUUCUACUUCACUCUGAAAUUACUUGAACCAUUCAACAAUUCAGACUUGUGUUUCAUCAAGUAAAUAUUCUCAACAUCUACUCGAAUCAUCUGUGAAGUAAGAACAUAACGAUAUUCACUGCAUGCCUCAGCACUCAUUGGACUGCACACAUCAAAAUGUGUUACUUCCAACAAGUUGCUAUCUUGUUCCAUCUUACUGAAAACGAGGCUUUUCAGUCAUCUUGCCCAUGUGGUAUGAUUUGCAUGUCCCAAGUGAUUCAAAAAUCAAGUGAGUCAAAACGGUCCAUUUGCAUGGAGUUUCUUCAUGCAUAUACACCAAUAGACAUGGUUCGCAUGUCUCAAACUUUUCAAAAACGAGUGAGCCCAAAGAUCCAUCAAUAUGGAGCUUCUUCAUGCGUUUUAUACCGAUAUGACUUACGUGGUAGUGCCACAAGUAGGUGGUACUAUCAUUACUAUCUUUUGGCAUGAACAUGUGUAUCACUACGAUCGAGAUUUAAUAAACCAUUCAUUUUAGGUGUAAGACCAUUGAAGGUAUUAUUCAAAUAAACAGAGUAACCAUUAUUCUCCUUAAAUGAAUAACCGUAUUGCGAUAGACGUAAUCCAAUCAUGUCUAUGCUCAACGCAAACACCAAAUAACAAUUAUUUAGGUUUAACACCAAUCUCUUUGGUAGAGGGAGCGUGCGAUGCUUGAUCAUAUCAAGCAUGGAAAAACUUACAACACAUAUCGUCAGCUCACCUUUAGCUAGUCUCUGUUUAUUCCGUAGCCUUUUGUUUCGAGUUACUAACACUUAGCAACCGAACUGGUAUCUAAUACCCUGGUGCUACUAGGAGUACUAGCAAAGUACACAUUAACACAAUGUAUAUCCAAUAUACUUCUAUCGACCUUGCCAGCCUUCUUAUCUACCAAGUAUCUAGGGUAAUUCUGCUCUAGUAGUUGUUCCCCUUAUUACAGAAGCACUUAGUCUCGGGUUUGGGUUUUACCUUGGGUUUCUUCACUAGAGCAGCAGCUGAUUUGCCGUUUCAUGAAGUAUCCCUUCUUGCCCUUGCCCUUCUUGAAACUAGUGGUUCCACCAACCAUCAACAAUUGAUGCUCCUUCUUGAUUUCUACUUUCGCGGUGUCAAACAUCGCGAAUACCUCAAGGAUCAUCAUAUCUAUCCCUGAUAUGUUAUAGUUCAUCAUGAAGCUCUAACAGCUUGGUGGCAAUGACUUUGGAGAACCAUCACUAUCUCAUCUGGAAGAUCAACUCCCACUCGAUUCAAGCGAUUGUUGUACUCAGACAAUCUGAGCACAAGCUCAACGAUUGAGCUUUUCUCCCUUAGUUUGCAGGUUAAGAAAGUCAUCGGAGGUCUUAUACCUCUUGACAUGGGCACGAGCCUGAAAUCCCAAUUUCAGCCCUCAAAACAUCUCAUAUGUUUCGCGAUGUUUCAAAAACGUCUUUGGUGCCUCAACUCUAAACCGUUUAACUGAACUAUCACGUAGUUAUCAAAACGUGUAUGUCAGAUGUUCGCAACAACCACAGACAACGUUCGAGGUUCAGCACACUGAGCGGUGCAUUAAGGACAUAAGCCUUCUAUGAAGCAAUGAGGACAAUCCUCAGUUUACGGACCUAGUCCGCAUAAUUGCUACUAUCAACUUUCAACUAAUUUUUCUCUAGGAACAUAUCUAAACAGUAGAACUAUAGCGUGAGCUACGACAUAAUUUGCAAAAACCUUUUGACUAUGUUCAGGAUAAUUAAGUUCAUCUUAUGAACUCCCACUCAGAUAGACAUCCCUCUAGUCAUCUAAGUGAUUACAUGAUCCGAGUCAAACUAGGCCGUGUCCGAUCAUCACGUGAGACGGACUAGUCAUCAUCGGUGAACAUCUUCAUGUUGAUCGUAUCUUCUAUACGACUCAUGUUCGACCUUUCGGUCUUCGUGUUCCGAGGCCAUGUAUGUACAUGCUAGGCUCGUCAAGUUAACCCUAAGUGUUUCGCGUGUGUAAAUCUGUCUUACACCCGUUGUAUGUGAACGUUAGAAUCUAACACCCGAUCAUCACGUGGUGCUUCGAAACACGAACUGUCGCAACGGUGCACAGUUAGGGGAGAACACUUCUUGAAAUUGUUGUAAGGGAUCAUCUUAUUUACUACCGUCGUUCUAAGCAAAUAAGAUGUAUAAACAUGAUAAACAUCACAUGCAAUCAAAUAGUGACAUGAUAUGGCCAUCAUCACUUUGCUCCUUUUGAUCUCCAUCUUCGGGGCUCCAUGAUCAUCAUCGUCACCGGCAUGACACCAUGAUCUCCAUCAUCAUGAUCUCCAUCAUCGUGUCUUCAUGAAGUUGCCUCGCCAACUAUUACUUCUACUACUAUGGCUAACGGUUAGCAAUAAAGUAAAGUAAUUACAUGACGUUUAAGUUGACACGCAGGUCACAAAUGAAUAAAGACAACUCCUAUGGCUCCUGCCGGUUGUCAUACUCAUCGACAUGCAAGUCGUGAUUCCUAUUACAAGAACAUGAUCAAUCUCAUACAUCACAUAUAUCAUUCAUCACAUCCUUUUUGGCCAUAUCACAUCACAUAGCAUACCCUGCAAAAACAAGUUAGACGUCCUCUAAUUGUUGUUUGCAUGUUUUACGUGGCUGCUAUGGGUUUCUAGCAAGAACGUUUCUUACCUACGCAUGAACAACAACGUGAUAUGCCAAUUGCUAUUUACCCUUCAUAAGGACCCUUUUCAUCGAAUCCGAUCCGACUAAAGUGGGAGAGACAGACACCCGCCAGCCACCUUAUGCAACUAGUGCAUGUUUGUCGGUGGAACCGGUCUCACGUAAGCGUACGUGUAAGGUUGGUCCGGGCCGCUUCAUCCCACGAUGCCGCCGAAUCAAGAUAAGACUAGUAACGGCAAGCAUAUUGAACAAUAUCAACGCCCACAACUACUUUGUGUUCUACUCGUGCAAAGAAUCUACGCAAUAGACCUAGCUCAUGAUGCCACUGUUGGGGAACGUAGCAGAAAUUCAAAAUUUUCCUACGUGUCACCAAGAUCUAUCUAUGGAGAUACUAGCAACGAGGGAAGGAGAGUGCAUCUACAUACCCUUGUAGAUCGCUAAGCGGAAGCGUUCAAGUGAACGGGGUUGAUGGAGUCGUACUCGUCGUGAUUCAGAUCACCGAUGAUCCUAGUGCCGAACGGACGGCACCUCCGCGUUCAACACACGUACAGCUCGACGAUGUCUCCCACGCCUUGAUCCAGCAAGGAGAGAGGGAGAGGUUGAGGAAGACUCCAUCCAGCAGCAGCACAACGGCGUGGUGGUGAUGGAGGAGCGUGGCAAUCCUGCAGGGCUUCGCCAAGCACCUACGGGAGAGGAGGAGGUGUCACGGGAGGGAGGGAGGCGCCAAGGGCUCAGGUAUAGAUGCCCUCCCUCCCCUCCACUAUAUAUAGGGGCAAGGGAGAGGGGGAGGCGCAUCCUUGCCCCUUCCUCCAAGGAAGGGGUGCGGCUAAGAGGGGGGGAGGAGUCCAUCCUCCCCAAGGCACCUCGGAGGUGCCUUCCCCCUUUAGGACUCUCCCCUUUUUCCUAUAUCUUGGCGCAUGGGCCUCUAGGGGCUGGUGCCCUUGGCCCAUGUAGGCCAAGGCGCACCCCCCUACAGCCCAUGUGGCCCCCCGGGGCAGGUGGCCCCACCCGGUGGGCCCCCGGGACCCUUCCGGUGGUCCCGGUACAAUACCGAUGACCCCGAAACUUGUCCCGAUGGCCGAAACAGGACUUCCUAUAUAUAAAUCUUUACCUCCGGACCAUUCCGGAACUCCUCGUGACGUCCGGGAUCUCAUCCGGGACUCCGAACAACAUUCGGUAACCACAUACAAACUUCCUUUAUAACCCUAGCGUCAUCGAACCUUAAGUGUGUAGACCCUACGGGUUCGGGAGACAUGUAGUCAUGACCGAGAUGUUCUCCGGUCAAUAACCAACAGCGGGAUCUGGAUACCCAUGUUGGCUCGCACAUGUUCCACGAUGAUCUCAUCGGAUGAACCACGAUGUCAAGGACUCAAUCAAUCCCGUAUACAAUUCCCUUUGUCUAGCGGUAUGGUACUUGCCCGAGAUUCGAUCGUCGGUAUACCGAUACCUUGUUCAAUCUCGUUACCGGCAAGCCUCUUUACUCGUUCCGUAACACAUCAUCCCGUGAUCAACCCCUUGGUCACAUUGUGCACAUUAUGAUGAUGUCCUACCGAGUGGGCCCAGAGAUACCUCUCCGUUUACACGGAGUGACAAAAUCCCAAUCUCGAUUCGUGCCAACCCAACAGACACUUUCAGAGAUACCCGUAGUGUACCUUUAUAGCCACCCAGUUACGUUGUGACGUUUGGCACACCCAAAGCACUCCUACGGUAUCCGGGAGUUGCACAAUCUCAUGGUCUAAGGAAAUGAUACUUGACAUUAGAAAAGCUUUAGCAUACGAACUACAUGAUCUUGUGCUAGGCUUAGNNNNNNNNNNUGAUCAACCCCUUGGUCACAUUGUGCACAUUAUGAUGAUGUCCUACCGAGUGGGCCCAGAGAUACCUCUCCGUUUACACGGAGUGACAAAAUCCCAAUCUCGAUUCGUGCCAACCCAACAGACAUUUUCAGAGAUACCCGUAGUGUACCUUUAUAGCCACCCAGUUACGUUGUGACGUUUGGCACACCCAAAGCACUCCUACGGUAUCCGGGAGUUGCACAAUCUCAUGGUCUAAGGAAAUGAUACUUGACAUUAGAAAAGCUUUAGCAUACGAACUACAUGAUCUUGUGCUAGGCUUAGGAUUGGGUCUUGUCCAUCACAUCAUUCUCCUAAUGAUGUGAUCCCGUUAUCAACGACAUCCAAUGUCCAUGGUCAGGAAACCGUAACCAUCUAUUGAUUAACGAGCUAGUCAACUAGAGGCUUACUAGGGACAUGGUGUUGUCUAUGUAUCCACACAUGUAUCUGAGUUUCCUAUCAAUACAAUUCUAGCAUGGAUAAUAAACGAUUAUCAUGAACAAGGAAAUAUAAUAAUAAUCAAUUUAUUAUUGCCUCUAGGGCAUAUUUCCAACAAGAAACGGGGAACAAACUGAUGAAAGAAUGAUCAUACCGAGGGAAUUCACUCAGAACUAACAAGAAUGAUAACGUGCUUUGACUGGAGCGGUUUAAAAACUGCUGGAAGGCUCUAGGGGAAUAAAGAUGGAAUGCCUUCAAAUUUCUAGGUCCGUAUGAUUUGAAAUACUUGCACACAAACCGCGCGAAAGCGUUCCUGGAAAUCUCAGCCCAAAAAAGGACGUUUAGUAAUUCUAAAAGGGACUACAGAAUGAAAAACAAUAGUUUUGGCAGUUAAAGUUUGAGAUUCGAUGGUGCCGUAGAUCCGUUUGGUCAUCAGGUGUAACGAGCCACACCCAUGUCUAGCUAGAGUAGUGUGCUAGGCUCAGGCUAGAGAAGAAACGGGGAACAAACUGAUGAAAGAAUGAUCAUACCGAGGGAAUUCACUCAGAACUAACAAGAAUGAUAACGUGCUCCGACUGGAGCGGUUUAGGAACUGCUGGAAGGCUCUAGGGGAAGAAAGAAGGAAUGACUUCUAAUUUUUAGGUCCGUAUGAUUUGAAAUACGUGCACACAAACCGCGCGAAAGCGUUCCUGGAAAUCUCAGCCCAAAAAAGGACGUUUAGUAUUCUAAAAGGGACUACAGAAUGAAAAACAAUAGUUUUGGCAGUUAAAGUUUGAGAUUCGACGGUGCCGUAGAUCCGUUUGGUCAUCAGGUGUUACGAGCCACACCCAUGUCUAGCUAGAAUAGUGUGCNNNNNNNNNNNNNNNNNNNNNNNNNCGUAUGAUUUGAAAUACGUGCACACAAACCGCGCGAAAGCGUUCCUGGAAAUCUCAGCCCAAAAAAGGACGUUUAGUAUUCUAAAAGGGACUACAGAAUGAAAAACAAUAGUUUUGGCAGUUAAAGUUUGAGAUUCGACGGUGCUGUAGAUCCGUUUGGUCAUCAGGUGUUACGAGCCACACCCAUGUCUAGCUAGAAUAGUGUGCUAGGCUCAGGCUAGAGAAGAAAAGGGGAACAAACUAAUGAAAGAAUGAUCAAUACGAGGGAAUUCACUCAGAACUAACAAUAAUGAUAACGUGCUCCGACUGGAGCGGUUUAGGAACUGCUGGAAGGCUCUAGGCGAAUAAAGAUGGAAUGACUUCUAAUUUUUACGUCCGUAUGAUUUGAAAUACUUGCACACAAACCACGCAAAAGCGUUCCUGGAAAUCUCGGCCUAAAAAGGACGUUUAGUAAUUCUAAAAGGGACUACAGGAUGAAAAAUAAUAGUUUGGGCAGUUAAAAUUUGAGAUUCGACGGUGCCGUAGAUCCGUUUGGUCAUCAGGUGUUACGAGCCACACCCAUGUCUAGCUAGAAUAGUGUGUUAGGCUCAGGCUAGAGAAGAAACGAGGAACAAACUGAUGAAAGAAUGAUCAUACCAAGGGAAUUCACUCAGAACUAACAAGAAUGAUAACGUGCUCCGACUGGAGCAGUUUAGAAACUGCUGGAAGGCUCUAGGGGAAUAAAGAUGGAAUGACUUCUGAUUUUUAGGUCCGUAUGAUUUGAAAUACGUGCACACAAACCCCGCGAAAGCGUUCCUGGAAAUCUCAGCCCAAAAAAGGACGUUUAGUAAUUCUAAAAGGGACUACAACAUGAAAAACAAUAGUUUUGGCAGUUAAAGUUUGAGAUUUCAUGGUGCCGUAGAUCUGUUUGGUCAUCAGGUGUUACGAGCCACACCCAUGUCUAGCUAGAAUAGUGUGUUAGGCUCAGGCUAGAAAAGAAACGGGAAACAAAGUGAUGAAAGAAUGACCAUACCGAGGGAAUUCACUCAGAACUAACAAGAAUGAUAACAUGCUCCGACUUGAGCGGUUUAGGAACUGCUGGAAGGCUCUAGGGGAAUAAAGAUGGAAUGACUUCUAAUGUUUAGGUCCGUAUGAUUUGAAAUACUUGCACAUAAACCGCACAAAAGCGUUCCUGGAAAUCUCAGCCCAAAAAAGGACGUUUAGUAAUUCUAAAAGGGACUACAGGAUGAAAAACAAUAGUUUUGGCAGUUAAAGUUUGAGAUUCGACGGUGCCGUAGAUCCGUUUGGUCAUCAGGUGUUACGAGCCACACCCAUGUCUAGCUAGAAUAGUGUGUUAGGCUCAGGCUAGAGAAGAAACUUGGAACAAACUGAUGAAAGAAUGAUCAAACCAACGGAAUUCACUCAGAACUAACAAUAAUGAUAACGUGCUCCGACUGGAGCAGUUUAGGAACUGCUGGAAGGCUCUAGGGGAAUAAAGAUGGAAUGACUUCUAAUUUUUAGGUCCGUAUGAUUUGAAAUACUUGCACGCAAACCGCGCGAAAGCGUUCCUGGAAAUAUCAGCCCAAAAAAGGACGUUUAGUAAUUCUAAAAGGGACUACAGGAUGAAAACAAUAGUUUUGGCAGUUAAAGUUUGAGAUUCAACAGUGCCGUAGAUCCGUUUGGUCAUCAGGUGUUAUGAGCCAUACCCAUGUCUAGCUAGAGUAGUGUGCUAGGCUCAGGCUAGAGAAGAAACAGGGAACAAACUGAUGAAAGAAUGAUCAUACCGAGGGAAUUCACUCAGAACUAACAAGAAUGAUAACGUGCUCCGACUGGAGCGGUUUAGGAACUGCUGGAAGGCUCUAGGGGAAUAAAGAUGGAGUGACUUCUAAAUUUUUAGGUCCGUAUGAUUUAAAAUACUUGCACACAAACCGCACGAAAGCGUUCCUUGAAAUCUCAGCCCAAAAAAGGACGUUUAGUAAGUCUAAAAGGGACUAUAGGAUGAAAAACAAUAGUUUUGGCAGUUAAAGUUUGAGAUUCGAUGGUGCCGUAGAUCUGUUUGGUCAUCAGGUGUUACGAGCCACACCCAUGUCUAGUUGGAAUAGUGUGCUAGGCUCAGACUAGAGAAGAAACAGGGAACAAACUGAUGAAAGAAUGAUCAAACCGAGGAAAUUCACUCAGAACUAACAAUAAUGAUAACAUGCUCCGACUGGAGCGGUUUAGGAACUGCUGGAAGGCUCUAGGGGAAUAAAGAUGGAAUGACUUCUAAAUUUUUAGGUCCGUAUGAUUUGAAAUAGUUGCACACAAACUGCGCGAAAGCGUUCCUGGAAAUCUCAGCCCAAAAAAGGACGUUUAGUAAUUCUAAAAGGGACUAUAGGAUGAAAAACAAUAGUUUUGGCAGUUAAAGUUUGAGAUUCGACGGUGCCGUAGAUCCGUUUGGUCAUCACGUGUUACAAGCCACACCCAUGUCUAGCUAGAGUAGUGUGCUAGGCUCAGACUAUAGAAGAAACGGGGACCAAACUGAUGAAAGAAUGAUCAAACCGAGGAAAUUCACUCAGAACUAACAAUAAUGAUAACAUGCUCCGACUGGAGCGGUUUAGGAACUACUGGAAGGCUCUAGGGGAAUAAAGAUGGAAUGACUUCUAAAUUUUUAGGUCCGUAUGAUUUUAAAUAGUUGCACACAAACUGCGCGAAAGCGUUCCUGGAAAUCUCAGCCCAAAAAAGGACGUUUAGUAAUUCUAAAAGGGACUACAGGAUGAAAAACAAUAGUUUGGGCAGUUAAAAUUUGAGAUUCGACGGUGCCGUAGAUCCGUUUGGUCAUCAGGUGUUACGAGCCACACCCAUGUCUAGCUAGAGUAGUGUGCUAGGCUCAGGCUAGAGAAGAAACAGGGAACAAACUGAUGAAAGAAUGAUCAUACCGAGGGAAUUCACUCAGAACUAACAAGAAUGAUAACGUGCUCUGACUGGAGCGGUUUAAGAACUGUUGGAAGGCUCUAGGGGAAUAAAGAUGGAAUCACUUCAAAUUUUUACGUCCGUGUGAUUUGAAAUACUUGCACACAAACCGCACGAAAGCGUUCCUGGAAAUCUCAGCCCAAAAAAGGACGUUUAGUAAGUCUAAAAGGGACUACACGAUGAAAAACAAUAGUUUUGGCAGUUAAAGUUUGAGAUUCGACAGUGCCGUAGAUCCGUUUGGUCAUCAGGUGUAACGAGCCACACCCAUGUCUAGAUAGAGUAGUGUGCUAGGCUCAAACUAGAGAAGAAACGGGGAACAAACUGAUGAAAGAAUGAUCAUACCGAGGGAAUUCACUCAGAAAUAACAAGAAUGAUAACGUGCUCUGACUGGAGCGGUUUAGGAACUGCUGGAAGGCUCUAGGGGAAUAAAGAAGGAAUGACUUCUAAUUUUUAGGUCCGUAUGAUUUGAAAUACGUGCACACAAACCCCGAGAAAGCGUUCCUGGAAAUCUCGACCCAAAAAAGGACGUUUAGUAAUUCUAAAAGGGACUACGGGAUGAAAAACAAUAGUUUUGGCAGUUAAAGUUUGAGAUUCGAUAAUGCCGUAGAUCCAUUUGGUCAUCAGGUGUAACGAGCCACACCCAUGUCUAGCUAGAGUAGUGUGCUAGGCUCAGACUAGAGAAGAAACAGGGAACAAACUGAUGAAAGAAUGAUCAUAUCGAGGGAAUUCACUCAGAACUAACAAGAAUGAUAACAUGCUCCGACUUGAGCGGUUUAGGAACUGCUGGAAGGCUCUAGGGGAAUAAAGAUGGAAUGACUUCUAAUUUUUAGGUCCGUAUGAUUUGAAAUACUUACACACAAACCACGCGAAAGCGUUCCUGGAAAUCUCAGCCCAAAAAAGGACGUUUAGUAAUUCUAAAAGGGACUACAUGAUGAAAAACAAUAGUUUUCGCAGUUAAAGUUUGAGAUUCGACGGUGCCGUAGAUCCGUUUGGUCAUCAAGUGUUACGAGCCACACCCAUGUCUAGCUAGAAUAGUGUGUUAGGCUCAGCCUAGAGAAGAAACGGGGAACAAACUGAUGAAAGAAUGAUCAUACCGAGGGAAUUCACUCAGAACUUACAAGAAUGAUAACGUGCUCCGACUUGAGCGGUUUAAGAACUGUUGGAAGGCUCUAGGGGAAUAAAGAUGGAAUCACUUCAAAUUUUUACGUCCGUGUGAUUUGAAAUACUUGCACACAAACCCCGAGAAAGCGUUCCUGGAAAUCUCGGCCGAAAAAAGGAUGUUUAAUAAUUCUAAAAGGGACUACAGGAUGAAAAACAAUAGCUUUGGCAGUUAAAGUUUGUGAUUCGAUGGUGCCGUAGAUCUGUUUGGUCAUCAGGUGUUAUGAGCCACACCCAUGUCUAGCUAGAAUAGUGUGUUAGGCUCAGGCUAGAGCAGAAACUAGGAACAAACUUAUGAAAGAAUGAUCAUACCGAGGGAAUUCACUCAGAACUAACAAGAAUGAUAACGUGCUCCGACUGGAGCGGUUUAGGAACUGCUGGAAGGCUCUAGGGGAAUAAAGAUGGAAUGACUUCUAAUUUUUAGGUCCGUAUGAUUUGAAAUACAUGCACACAAACCCCAAGAAAGCGUUCCUAGAAAUCUCAGCCCAAAAAGGACGUUUAGUAAUUCUAAAAGGGACUACAGGAUGAAAAACAAUAGGUUUGGCAGUUAAAGUUUGAGAUUCGAUAAUGCCGUAGAUCCGUUUGGUCAUCAGGUGUAACGAGCCACACCCAUGUCUAGCUACAUUAGUGUGCUAGGCUCAGACUAGAGAAGAAACGGGGAACAAACUGAUGAAAGAAUGAUCAUACCGAGGGAAUUCACUCAGAACUAACAAGAACGAUAACAUGCUCCGACUGCAGCGGUUUAGGAACUGCUGGAAGGCUCUAGGGGAAUAAAGAAGGAAUGACUUCUAAUUUUUAGGUCCGUAUGAUUUGAAAUACUUGCACACAAACCGCGCGAAAGCAUUCCUGGAAAUCUCAGCCCAAAAAAGGACGUUUAGUAAUUCUAAAAGGGACUACAGGAUGAAAAACAAUAAUUUUGGCAGUUAAAGUUUGAGAUUCGACGGUGCCGUAGAUCCGUUUGGUCAUCAGGUGUUACGGGCCAUACCCAUGUCUAGCUAGAAUAGUGUGUUAGGCUCAGGUUAGAGAAGAAACGGGGAACAAAGUGAUGAAAGAAUGAUCAUACCGAGGGAAUUCACUCAGAACUAACAAGAAUGAUAACGUGCUCCGACUGGAGCGGUUUAGGAAUUGCUGGAAGGCUCUAGGGGAAUAAAGAUGGAAUGACUUCUAUAUUUUACGUCCGUAUGAUUUGAAAUACUUGCACACAAACCACGCAAAAGCACUCCUGGAAAUAUCAGCCUAAAAAGGAUGUUUAGUAAUUCUAAAAGGGACUACAGGAUGAAAAAUAAUAGUUUUGGCAGUUAAAAUUUGAGAUUCAACGGUGCCGUAAAUCCGUUUGGUCAUCAGGUGUUACGAGCCACACCCAUGUCUAGCUAGAAUAGUGUGUUAGGCUCAGGUUAGAGAAGAAACGGGGAACAAACUGAUGAAAGAAUGAUCAUACAAGGGGAAUUCACUCAGAACUAUCAAGAAUGAUAACGUGCUCCGACUGGAGCAGUUUAGGAACUGCCGGAAGGCUCUAGGGGAAUAAAGAUGGAAUGACUUCUAAUUUUUAUGUCCGUAUGAUUUGAAAUACUUGCACACAAACCACGCAAAAGCGUUCCUGGAAAUCUCAGCCUAAAAAGGACGUUUAGUAAUUCUAAAAGGGACUACAGGAUGAAAAACAAUAGUUUGGGCAGUUAAAAUUCGAGAUUCGACGGUGCCGUAGAUCCGUUUGGUCAUCAGGUGUUACGAGCCACACCCAUGUCUAGCUAGAAUAGUGUGUUAGGCUCAGGCUAGAGAAGAAACGGGGAACAAACUGAUGAAAGAAUGAUCAUAUCGAGGGAAUUCACUCAGAACUAACAAGAAUGAUAACGUGCUCCGACUGGAGCGGUUUAGUAACUGCUGGAAGGCUCUAGGGGAAUAAAGAUGGAAUGACUUCUAAUUAUUAGGUCCGUAAGAUUUGAAUUACAUGCACACAAACCCCGAGAAAGCGUUCCUGGAAAUCUCGGUCGAAAAAAGGAUGUUUAGUAAUUCUAAAAGGGACUACAGGAUGAAAAACAAUAGUUUUGGCAGUUAAAGUUUGUGAUUCGAUGGUGCCGUAGAUCUGUUUGGUCAUCAGGUGUUACGAGCCACACCCAUGUCUAGCUAGAAUAGUGUGUUAGGCUCAGGCUAGAGCAGAAACGGGGAACAAACUUAUGAAAGAAUGAUCAUGCCGAGGGAAUUCACUCAGAACUAACAAGAAUGAUAACGUGCUCCGACUGGAGCGGUUUAGGAACUGCUGGAAGGCUCUAGGGGAAUAAAGAUGGAAUGACAUCAAAUUUUUAGGUCCGUAUGAUUUGAAAUACUUGCACACAAACCGCAAGAAAGCGUUCUUGGAAAUCUCCGCCCAAAAAAGGACGUUUAGUAAUUCUAAAAGGGUCUACAGGAUGAAAAACAAUAGUUCUGGCAGUUAAAGUUUGAGAUUCGAUAAUGUCGUAGAUCCGUUUGGUCAUCAGGCGUAACGAGCCACACCCAUUUCUAGCUAGAGUAGUGUGCUAGGCUCAGACUAGAGAAGAAACGGGGAACAACCUGAUGAAAGAAUGAUCAUACCGAGGGAAUUCACUCAGAACUAACAAGAAUGAUAACGUGCUCCGACUGGAGCGGUUUAGGAACUGCUGGAAGGCUCUACGGGAAUAAAGAAGGAAUGACUUCUAAUUUUUAGGUCCGUAUGAUUUGAAAUACGUGCACACAAACCCCGAGAAAGCGUUCCUGGAAAUCUCGGCCCAAAAAAGGACGUUUAGUAUUCUAAAAGCGACUACAGAAUGAAAAACAAUAGUUUUGGUAGUUAAAGUUUGAGAUUUAACGGUGCCGUAGAUCUGUUUGGUCAUCAGGUGUUACGAGCCACACCCAUGUCUAGCUAGAAUAGUGUGUUAGGCUCAGGCUAGAUAAGAAACAGGGAACAAAGUGAUGAAAGAAUGAUCAUACCAAGGGAAUUCACUCAGAACUAACAAGAACGAUAACAUGCUCCGACUGGAGUGGUUUAGGAACUGCUGGAAGGCUCUAGGGGAAUAAAGAUGGAAUGACUUCUAAUUUUUAGGUCUGUAUGAUUUGAAAUACUUGCACACAAACCGCACGAAAGCGUUCCUGGAAAUCUCAUCCCAAAAAAGGACGUUUAGUAAUUCUAAAAGGGACUACAGGAUGAAAAACAAUAGUUUUGGCAGUUAAAGUUUGAGAUUCGAUAAUGCUGUAGAUCCGUUUGGUCAUCAGGUGUAACGAGCCACACCCAUGUCUAGCUAGAGUAGUGUGCUAGGCUCAGACUAGAGAAGAAACGGGGAACAAACUGAUGAAAGAAUGAUCAUACCGAGGGAAUUCACUCAGAACUAACAAUAAUGAUAACGUGCUCCGACUGGAGCGGUUUAGGAACUGCUGGAAGGCUCUAGGGGAAUAAAGAUGGAAUGAGUUCUAAUUUUUAGGUCUGUAUGAUUUGAAAUACUUGCACACAAACCGCGUGAAAGCAUUCCUGGAAAUUUCAGCCCAAAAAAGGACGUUUAGUAAUUUUAAAAGGGACUACACGAUGAAAAACAAUAGUUUUGGCAGUUAAAGUUUGAGAUUCGACGGUGCCGUAGAUCCGUUUGGUCAUCAGGUGUUACGAGCCACACCCAUGUCUAGCUAGAAUAGUAUGUUAGGCUCGGGUAAGAGAAGAAACGGGGAACAAACUGAUGAAAGAAUGAUCAUACCAAGGGAAUUCACUCAGAACUAACAAGAAUGAUAACGUGCUCCGACUGGAGCGGUUUAGGAACUGCUGGAAGGCUCUAGGGGAAUAAAGAUGGAAUGACUUCUAAUUUUUACGUUCGUAUGAUUUGAAAUACUUGCACACAAACCACGCAAAAGCGUUCCUGGAAAUCUCAUCCUAAAAAAGGACGUUUAGUAAUUCUAAAAGGGACUACAGGAUGAAAAAUAAUAGUUUGGGCAGUUAAAAUUUGAGAUUCGACGGUGCCGUAGAUCCGUUUGGUCAUCAGGUGUUACGAGCCACACCCAUGUCUAGCUAGAAUAGUGUGUUAGGCUCAGGCUAGAGAAGAAACGGGGAACAAACUGAUGAAAGAAUGAUCAUAUCGAGGGAAUUCACUCAGAACUAACAAGAAUGAUAACGUGCUCCGACUGGAGCAGUUUAGAAACUGCUGGAAGGCUCUAGGGGAAUAAAGAUGGAAUGACUUCUAAUUUUUAGGUCUGUAUGAUUUGAAAUACGUGCACACGAACCCCGAGAAAGCGUUCCUGGAAAUCUCGGCCCAAAAAAGGACGUUUAGUAAUUCUAAAAGGGACUACAGGAUGAAAAACAAUAGUUUUGGCAGUUAAAGUUUGAGAUUCGACGGUGCCGUAGAUCCGUUUGUUCAUCAGGUGUUACGAGCCACACCCAUGUCUAGCUAGAAUAGUGUGUUAGGCUCAGGCUAGAGAAGAAACGGGGAACAAACUGAUGAAAGAAUGAUCAUACCGAGGGAAUUCACUCAGAACUAACAAGAAUGAUAACGUGCUCCGACUGGAGCGGUUUAGGAACUGCUAGAAGGCUCUAGGGGAAUAAAGAAGGAAUGACUUCUAAUUUUUAGGUCCGUAUGAUUUGAAAUACGUGCACACAAACCCCGAGAAAGCGUUCCUGGAAAUCUUGGCCCAAAAAAGGACGUUUAGUAUUCUAAAAGCGACUACAGAAUGAAAAACAAUAGUUUUGCUAGUUAAAGUUUGAGAUUUGAUGGUGCCGUAGAUCUGUUUGGUCAUCAGGUUUUACGAGCCACACCCAUGUCUAGCUAGAAUAGUGUGUUAGGCUCAGGCUAGAAAAGAAACAGGGAAUAAAGUGAUGAAAGAAUGAUCAUACCAAGGGAAUUCACUCAGAACUAACAAGAACGAUAACAUGCUCCGACUGGAGUGGUUUAGAACUGCUGGAAGGCUAAAGGGGAAUAAAGAUGGAAUGACUUCUAAUUUUUAGGUCCGUAUGAUUUGAAAUACUUGCACACAAACCGCACGAAAGUGUUCCUGGAAAUCUCAGCCCAAAAAAGGACGUUUAGUAAUUCUAAAAGGGACUACAGGAUGAAAAACAAUAGUUUUGGCAGUUAAAGUUUGAGAUUCGAUAAUGACGUAGAUCCGUUUGGUCAUCAGGUGUAACGAGCCACACCCAUGUCUAGCUAGAGUAGUGUGCUAGGCUCAGACUAGAGAAGAAACGGGGAACAAACUGAUGAAAGAAUGAUCAUACCGAGGGAAUUCACUCAGAACUAACAAUAAUGAUAACGUGCUCCGACUAGAGCGGUUUAGGAACUGCUGGAAGGCUCUAGGGGAAUAAAGAUGGAAUGACUUCUAAUUUUUAGGUCCCUAUGAUUUGAAAUACUUGCACACAAACCGCGUGAAAGCAUUCCUGGAAAUUUCAGCCCAAAAAAGGACGUUUAGUAAUUUUAAAAGGGACUACACGAUGAAAAAGAAUAGUUUUGGCAGUUAAAGUUUGAGAUUCGACGGUGCCGUAGAUCCGUUUGGUCAUCAGGUGUUACGAGACACACCCAUGUCUAGCUAGAAUAGUAUGUUAGGCUCGGGUUAGAGAAGAAACGGGGAACAAACUGAUGAAAGAAUGAUCAUACCAAGGGAAUUCACUCAGAACUAACAAGAAUGAUAACGUGCUCCGACUGGAGCGGUUUAGGAACUGCUGGAAGGCUCUAGGGGAAUAAAGAUGGAAUGACUUCUAAUUUUUACGUUCGUAUGAUUUGAAAUACUUGCAAACAAACCACGCAAAAGCGUUCCUGGAAAUUUCAUCCUAAAAAAGGACGUUUAGUAAUUCUAAAAGGGACUACAGGAUGAAAAAUAAUAGUUUGGGCAGUUAAAAUUUGAGAUUCGAUGGUGCCGUAGAUCCGUUUGGUCAUCAGGUGUUACGAGCCACACCCAUGUCUAGCUAGAAUAGUGUGUUAGGCUCAGGCUAGAGAAGAAACGGGGAACAAACUGAUGAAAGAAUGAUCAUAUCGAGGGAAUUCACUCAGAACUAACAAGAAUGAUAACGUGCUCCGACUGGAGCAGUUUAGAAACUGCUGGAAGGCUCUAGGGGAAUAAAGAUGGAAUGACUUCUAAUUUUUAGGUCUGUAUGAUUUGAAAUACGUGCACACAAACCCCGAGAAAGCGUUCCUGGAAAUCUCGUCCGGAAAAAGGAUGUUUAAUAAUUCUAAAAGGGACUACAGGAUGAAAAACAAUAGUUUUGGCAGUUAAAGUUUGUGAUUCGAUGGUGCCGUAGAUCUGUUUGGUCAUCAGGUGUUACGGGCCACACCCAUGUCUAGCUAGAAUAGUGUGUUAGGCUCAGGCUAGAGCAGAAACGGGGAGCAAACUUAUGAAAGAAUGAUCAUAGCGAGGGAAUUUACUCAGAACUAACAAGAAUGAUAACGUGCUCCGACUGGAGCGGUUUAGGAACUGCUGGAAGGCUCUAGGGGAAUAAAGAUGGAAUGACUUCAAAUUUUCAGGUAUGUAUGAUCUGAAAUACUUGCACACAAACCGCGAGAAAGCGUUCCUGGAAAUCUCAACCCAAAAAAGGAUGUUUAGUAAUUCUAAAAGGGACUACAGGAUUAAAAACAAUAGUUUUGGCAGUUAAAGUUUGAGAUUCGAUAAUGUCGUAGAUCCGUUUGGUCAUCAGGUGUAACGAGCCACACCCAUGUCUAGCUAGAGUAGUGUGCUAGGCUCAUACUAGAGAAGAAACGGGGAACAAACUGAUGAAAGAAUGAUCAUACCGAGGGAAUUCACUCAGAACUAACAAGAAUGAUAACGUGCUCCGACUGGAGCGGUUUAGGAACUGCUGGAAGGCUCUAGGGGAAUAAAGAUGGAAUGACUUCUUAUUUUUAGGUCCGUAUGAUUUGAAAUACAUGCACACAAACCCCAAGAAAGCGUUCCGGGAAAUCUCGGCCCAAAGAAUGAUGUUUAGUAAUUCUAAAAGGGACUAUAGAAUGAAAAACAAUAGUUUUGGCAGUUAAAGUUUGAGAUUUGACGGUGUCGUAGAUCUGUUUGGUCAUCAGGUGUUACGAGCCACACCCAUUUCUAGCUAGAAUAGUGUGUUAGGCUCAGGCUAGAAAAGAAACGGGGAACAAAGUGAUGAAAGAAUGAUCAUACCGAGGGAAUUCACUCAGAACUAACAAGAAUGAUAACAUGCUCCGACUAGAGCGGUUUAGGAACUGCUGGAAGGCUCUAGGGGAAUAAAUAUGGAAUGACUUCUAAUUUUCAGGUCCGUAUGAUUUGAAAUACUUGCACACAAACCGCGCGAAAGCGUUCCUGGAAAUCUCAUCCCAAAGAAGGUCGUUUAGUAAUUCUAAAAGGGACUACAGGAUGAAAAACAAUAGUUUUGGCAAUUUAAGGUUUGAGAUUCGACGGUGCCGUAGAUCCGUUUGGUCAUCAGGUGUUACGAGCCACACCCAUGUCUAGCUAGAAUAGUGUGCUAGGCUCAGGCUAGAGAAGAAACAGGGAACAAACUGAUGAAAGAAUGAUCAAACCGAGGGAAUUCACUCAGAACUAACAAUAAUGAUAACGUUCUCCGUCUGGAGCGGUUUAGGAACUGCUGGAAGGCUCUAGGGGAAUAAAGAUGGAAUGACUUCUAAUUUUUAGGUCCGUAUGAUUUGAAAUACUUGCACACAAACCGCGCCAAAUCGUUCCUGGAAAUCUCAGCCCAAAAAAGGACGUUUAGUAAUUCUAAAAGGGACUACAGGAUGAAAAACAAUAGUUUUGGCAGUUAAAGUUUGAGAUUCGAUGGUGCCGUAGACCCGUUUGGUCAUCAGGUGUUACGAGCCACACCCAUGUCUAGCUAGAGUAGUGUGCUAGGUUCAGACUAGAGAAGAAACAGGGAACAAAGUGAUGAAAGAAUGAUCAUACCGAGGGAAUUCACUCAGAACUAACAAGAAUGAUAACGUGCUCCGACUGGAGCGGUUUAGGAACUGCUGGAAGGCUCUAGGGGAAUAAAGAUGGAAUGACUUCUAAUUUUUACGUCCGUAUGAUUUGAAAUACUUGCACACAAACCACGCAAAAGCGUUCCUGGAAAUCUCAGCCUAAAAAAGGACGUUUAGUAAUUCAAAAAGGGACUACAAAAUGAAAAACAAUAGUUUUGGCAGUUAAAGUUUGAGAUUCGAUGGUGCCGUAGAUCCGUUUGGUCAUCAGGUGUUACGAGCCACACCCAUGUCUAGCUAGGAUAGUGUGUUAGGCUCAGGCUAGAGAAGAAACGGGGAACAAACUGAUGAAAGAAUGAUCAUACCGAGGGAAUUCACUCAGAACUAACAAGGAUGAUAACAUGCUCCGACUAGAGCGGUUUAGGAACUGCUGGAAGGCUCUAGGGGAAUAAAGAUGGAAUGACUUCUAAUUUUUAGGUCCGUAUGAUUUGAAAUACUUGCACACAAACCGCAAGAAAGCGUUCCUGGAAAUCUCAGCCCAAAAAAGGACGUUUAGUAAUUCUAAAAGGGACUACAGGAUGAAAAACAAUAGUUCUGGCAGUUAAAGUUUGAGAUUCGAUAAUGCCGUAGAUCUGUUUGGUCAUCAGGUGUAACGAGCCACACCCAUGUCUAGCUAGAGUAGUGUGCUAGGCUCAGACUAGAGAAGAAACGGGGAACAAACUGAUGAAAGAAUGAUUAUACCGAGGGAAUUCACUCAGAACUAACGAGAAUGAUAACGUGCUCCGACUGGAGCGGUUUAGGAACUGCUGGAAGGCUCUAGGGGAAUAAAGAUGGAAUGACUUCAAAUUUUUAGGUCUGUAUGAUUUGAAAUACUUGCACACAAACCGCAAGAAAGCGUUCCUUGAAAUCUCAGCCCAAAAAAGGACGUUUAGUAAUUCUAAAAGGGACUACAGGAUGAAAAACAAUAGUUCUGGCAGUUAAAGUUUGAGAUUCGAUAAUGUCGUAGAUCCGUUUGGUCAUCAGGUGUAACGAGCCACACCCAUGUCUAGCUAGAGUAGUGUGCUAGGCUCAGAAUAGAGAAGAAACGGGGAACAAACUGAUGAAAGAAUGAUCAUACCGAGGGAAUUCACUCAGAACUAACAAGAAUGAUAACGUGCUCCGACUGGAGCGGUUUAGGAACUGCUGGAAGGCUCUAGGGGAAUAAAGAAGGAAUGACUUCUAAUUUUUAGGUCCGUAUGAUUUGAAAUACGUGCACACAAACCGCGCGAAAGCGUUCCUGGAAAUCUCAGCCAAAAAAAGGACGUUUAGUAUUCUAAAAGGGACUACAGAAUGAAAAACAAUAGUUUUGGCAGUUAAAGUUUGAGAUUCGACGGUGCUGUAGAUCCGUUUGGUCAUCAGGUGUUACGAGCCACACCCAUGUCUAGCUAGAAUAGUGUGCUAGGCUCAGGCUAGAGAAGAAAAGGGGAACAAACUAAUGAAAGAAUGAUCAAUCCGAGGGAAUUCACUCAGAACUAACAAUAAUGAUAACGUGCUCCGACUGGAGCGGUUUAGGAACUGCUGGAAGGCUCUAGGCGAAUAAAGAUGGAAUGACUUCUAAUUUUUACGUCCGUAUGAUUUGAAAUACUUGCACACAAACCACGCAAAAGCGUUCCUGGAAGUCUCGGCCUAAAAAGGACGUUUAGUAAUUCUAAAAGGGACUACAGGAUGAAAAAUAAUAGUUUGGGCAGUUAAAAUUUGAGAUUCGACGGUGCCGUAGAUCCAUUUGGUCAUCAAGUGUUACGAGCCACACCCAUGUCUAGCUAGAAUAGUGUGUUAGGCUCAGGCUAGAGAAGAAACGGGGAACAAACUGAUGAAAGAAUGAUCAUACCAAGGGAAUUCACUCAGAACUAACAAGAAUGAUAACGUGCUCCGACUGGAGCAGUUUAGAAACUGCUGGAAGGCUCUUGGGGAAUAAAGAUGGAAUGACUUCAAAUUUUUAGGUCCGUAUGAUUUGAAAUACUUGCACACAAACCACGCGAAAGCGUUCCUGGAAAUCUCAGCCCAAAAAAGGACGUUUAGUAAUUCUAAAAGGGACUACAUGAUGAAAAACAAUAGUUUUGGCAGUUAAAGUUUGAGAAUCGUCGGUGCCGUAGAUCCGUUUGGUCAUCAGCUGUAACGAGCCACACCCAUGUCUAGCUAGAGUAGUGUGCUAGGCUCAGACUAGAGAAGAAACAGGGAACAAAGUGAUGAAAGAAUGAUCAUACCGAGGGAAUUCACUUAGAACUAACAAGAAUGAUAACAUGCUCCGACUUGAGCGAUUUAGGAACUUCUGGAAGGCUCUAGGGGAAUAAAGAUGGAAUGACUCAAAUUUUUAGGCCCGUAUGAUUUGAAAUACAUGCACACAAACCGCGAGAAAGUGUUCCUGGAAAUCUUAGCCCAAAAAAGGACGUUUAGUAAUUCUAAAAGGGACUACAGGAUGAAAAACAAUAGUUUUGGUAGUUAAAGUUUCAGAUUCGAUAAUGCCCUAGAUCCGUUUGGUCAUCAGGUGUAACGAGCCACACCAAUGUCUAGCUAGAGUAGUGUGCUAGGCUCAGACUAGAUAAGAAACGGGGAAGAAACUGAUGAAAGAAUGAUCAGACCGAGGGAAUUCACUCAGAACUAACAAUAAUGAUAACGUGCUCCGAGUGGAGCGGUUUAGGAACUGCUGGAAGGCUCUAGGGGAAUAAAGAUGGAAUGACUUCUAAUUUUUAGGUCCGUAUGAUUUGAAAUACGUGCACACAAACCCCGAGAAACCGUUCCUUGAAAUCUCGGCCCAAAAAAGGACGUUUAGUAAUUCUAAAAGGGACUACAAAAUGAAAAACAAUAGUUUUGGCAGUUAAAGUUUGAGAUUCGACGGUGUCGUAGACCCGUUUGGUCUUCAGGUGUUACGAGCCACACCCAUGUCUAGCCAGAGUAGUGUGCUAGGUUCAGACUAGAGAAGAAACGGGGAACAAAGUGAUGAAAGAAUGAUCAUACCGAGGGAAUUCACUCAGAACUAACAAGAAUGAUAACGUGCUCCGACUGGAGCGGGUUAGGAACUCCUGGAAGGCUCUAGGGGAAUAAAGAUGGAAUGACUUCUAAUUUUUACGUCCGUAUGAUUUGAAAUACUUGCACACAAACCACGCAAAAGCGUUCCUGGAAAUCUCAGCCUAAAAAAGGACGUUUAGUAAUUCUAAAAGGGACUACAGGAUGAAAAAUAAUAGUUUGGUCAUCAGGUGUUACGAGCCACACCCAUGUCUAGCUAGAAUAGUGUGCUAGGCUCAGGCUAGAGAAGAAACGGGGAAUAAACUGAUGAAAGAAUGAUCAAACCGAGGGAAUUCACUCAGAACUAACAAUAAUGAUAACGUUCUCCGUCUGGAGCGGUUUAGGAACUGCUGGAAGGCUCUAGGGGAAUAAAGAUGGAAUGACUUCUAAUUUUUAGGUCCGUAUGAUACGAAAUACUUGCACACAAACCGCGCGAAAUCGUUCCUGGAAAUCUCAGCCCAAAAAAGGACGUUUAGUAAUUCUAAAAGGGACUACAGCAUGAAAAACAAUAGUUCUGGCAGUUAAAGUUUGAGAUUCGAUAAUGCCGUAGAUCCGUUUGGUCAUCAGGUGUAACGAGCCACACCCAUGUCUAGCUAGAGUAGUAUGCUAGGCUCAGACUAGAGAAGAAACGGGGAACAAACUGAUGAAAGAAUGAUUAUACCGAGGGAAUUCACUCAGAACUAACAAGAAUGAUAACGUGCUCCGGCUGGAGCGGUUUAGGAACUGCUAGAAGGCUCUAGGGGAAUAAAGAUGGAAUGACUUCAAAUUUUUAGGUCUGUAUGAUUUGAAAUACUUGCACACAAACCGCAAGAAAGCGUUCCUGGAAAUCUCAGCCCAAAAAAGGACGUUUAGUAAUUCUAAAAGGGACUAUAGGAUGAAAAACAAUAGUUCUGGUAGUUAAAGUUUGAGAUUCGAUAAUGUCAUAGAUCCGUUCGGUCAUCAGGUGUAACGAGCCACACCCAUGUCUAGCUAGAGUAGUGUGCUAGGCUCAGACUAGAGAAGAAACGGGGAACAAACUGAUGAAAGAAUGAUCAUACCGAGGGAAUUCACUCAGAACUAACAAGAAUGAUAACGUGCUCCGACUGGAGCGGUUUAGGAACUGCUGGAAGGCUCUAGGGGAAGAAAGAAGGAAUGACUUCUAAUUUUUAGGUCCGUAUGAUUUGAAAUACGUGCACACAAACCGCGCGAAAGCGUUCCUGGAAAUCUCAGCCCAAAAAAGGACGUUUAGUAUUCUAAAAGGGACUACAGAAUGAAAAACAAUAGUUUUGGCAGUUAAAGUUUGAGAUUCGACGGUGCCGUAGAUCCGUUUGGUCAUCAGGUGUUACGAGCCACACCCAUGUCUAGCUAGAAUAGUGUGCUAGGCUCAGGCUAGAGAAGAAAAGGGGAACAAACUGAUGAAAGAAUGAUCAAACCGAGGGAAUUCACUCAGAACUAACAAUAAUGAUAACGUGCUCCGACUGGAGCGGUUUAGGAACUGCUGGAAGGCUCUUGGCGAAUAAAGAUGGAAUGACUUCUAAUUUUUACGUCCGUAUGAUUUGAAAUACUUCCACACAAACCAGGCAAAGGCGUUCCUGGAAAUCUCGGCCUAAAAAGGACGUUUAGUAAUUCUAAAAGGGACUACAGGAUGAAAAAUAAUAGUUUGGGCAGUUAAAAUUUUAGAUUCGACGGUGCCGUAGAUCCGUUUGGUCAUCAGGUGUUACGAGCCACACCCAUGUCUAGCUAGAAUAGUGUGUUAGGCUCAGGCUAGAGAAGAAACGGGGAACAAACUGAUGAAAGAAUGAUCAUACCAAGGGAAUUCACUCAGAACUAACAAGAAUGAUAACGUGCUCCGACUGGAGCAGUUUAGAAACUACUGGAAGGCUCUAGGGGAAUAAAGAUGGAAUGACUUCAAAUUUUUAGGUCCGUAUGAUUUGAAAUACUUGCACACAAACCGCGCGAAAGCGUUCCUGGAAAUCUCAGCCCAAAAAAGGACGUUUAGUAAUUCUAAAAGGGACUACAUGAUGAAAAACAAUAGUUUUGGCAGUUAAAGUUUGAGAUUCGUCGGUGCCGUAGAUCCGUUUGGUCAUCAGCUGUAACGAGCCACACCCAUUUCUAGCUAGAGUAGUGUGCUAGGCUCAGACUAAAGAAGAAAUGGGGAACAAAGUGAUGAAAGAAUGCUCAUACCGAGGGAAUUCACUCAGAACUAACAAGAAUGAUAACAUGCUCCGACUUGAGCGAUUUAGGAACUUCUGGAAGGCUCUAGGGGAAUAAAGAUGGAAUGACUCAAAUUUUUAGGUCCGUAUGAUUUGAAAUACUUGCACACAAACCGCGAGAAAGCGUUCCUGGAAAUCUCAGCCCAAAAAAGGACGUUUAGUAAUUCUAAAAGGGACUACAUGAUGAAAAACAAUAGUUUUGGCAGUUAAAGUUUGAGAUUUGAUAAUGCCGUAGAUCCGUUUGGUCAUCAGGUGUAACGAGCCACACCCAUGUCUAGCUAGAGUAGUGUGCUAGGCUAAGACUAGAUAAGAAAAGGGGAAGAAACUUAUGAAAGAAUGAUCAGACCGAGGGAAUUCACUCAGAACUAACAAUAAUGAUAACGUGCUCCGACUGGAGCGGUUUAGGAACUGCUGGAAGGCUCUAGGGGAAUAAAGAUGGAAUGACUUCUAAUUUUUAGGUCCGUAUGAUUUGAAAUACGUGCACACAAACCCCGAGAAACCGUUCCUGGAAAUCUCGGCCCAAAAAAGGAUGUUUAGUAAUUCUAAAAGGGACUACAAAAUGAAAAACAAUAGUUUUGGCAGUUAAAGUUUGAGAUUUGAUGGUGCCGUAGAUCUGUUUGGUCAUCAGGUGUUACGAGCCACACCCAUGUCUAGCUAGAAUAGUGUGUUAGGCUCAGGCUAGAAAAGAAACGGGAAACAAAGUGAUGAAAGAAUGAUCAUACCGAGGGAAUUCACUCAGAACUAACAAGAAUGAUAACAUGCUCUGACUGGAGCGGUUUAGGAACUGCUGGAAGGCUCUAGGGGAAUAAAGAUGGAAUGACUUCUAAUGUUUAGGUCCGUAUGAUUUGAAAUACUUGCACAUAAACCGCGCAAAAGCGUUCCUGGAAAUCUCAGCCCAAAAAAGGACGUUUAGUAAUUCUAAAAGGGACUACAGGAUGAAAAACAAUAGUUUUGGCAGUUAAAGUUUGAGAUUCGACGGUGCCGUAGAUCCGUUUGUUCAUCAGGUGUUACGAGCCACACCCAUGUCUAGCUAGAAUAGUGUGUUAGGCUCAGGCUAGAGAAGAAACGGGGAACAAACUGAUGAAAGAAUGAUCAAACCGAGGGAAUUCACUCAGAACUAACAAUAAUGAUAACGUGCUCCGACUAGAGCGGUUUAGGAACUGCUGGAAGGCUCUAGGGGAAUAAAGAUGGAAUGACUUCUAAUUUUUAGGUCUGUAUGAUUUGAAAUACUUGCACGCAAACCGCGCGAAAGCGUUCCCGGAAAUAUCAGCCUAAAGAAGGACGUUUAGUAAUUCUAAAAGGGACUACAGGAUGAAAAACAAUAGUUUUGGCAGUUAAAGUUUGAGAUUCAACGGUGCCGUAGAUCCGUUUGGUCAUCAGGUGUUACGAGCCACACCCAUGUCUAGCUAGAGUAGUGUGCUAGGCUCAGGCUAGAGAAGAAACAGGGAACAAACUGAUGAAAGAAUGAUCAUACCGAGGGAAUUCACUCAGAACUGAUGAAAGAAUGAUCAAACCAAGGAAAUUCACUCAGAACUAACAAUAAUGAUAACAUGCUCCGACUGGAGCGGUUUAGGAACUGCUGGAAGGCUCUAGGGGAAUAAAGAUGGAAUGACUUCUAAUUUUUAGGUCCGUAUGAUUUGAAAUACGUGCACACAAACCCCGAGAAACCGUUCCUGGAAAUCUCGGCCCAAAAAAGGACGUUUAGUAAUUCUAAAAGGGACAACAAAAUGAAAAACAAUAGUUUUGGCAGUUAAAGUUUGAGAUUCGACGGUGCCGUAGACCCGUUUGGUCAUCAGGUGUUACGAGCCACACCCAUGUCUAGCUAGAGUAGUGUGCUAGGUUCAGACUAGAGAAGAAACGGGGAACAAAGUGAUGAAAGAAUGAUCAUACCGAGGGAAUUCACUCAGAACUAACAAGAAUGAUAACGUGCUCCGACUGGAGCGGGUUAGGAAUUGCUGGAAGGCUCUAGGGGAAUAAAGAUAGAAUGACUUCUAAUUUUUACGUCCGUAUGAUUUGAAAUACUUGCACACAAACCACGCAAAAGCGUUCCUAGAAAUCUCAGCCUAAAAAAGGACGUUUAGUAAUUCUAAAAGGGACUACAGGAUGAAAAAUAAUAGUUUGGCCAGUUAAAAUUUAAGAUUCGACGGUGCCGUAGAUCCGCUUGGUCAUCAGGUGUUACGAGCCACACCCAUGUCUAGCUAGAAUAGUGUGUUAGGCUCAGGCUAGAGAAGAAACGGGGAACAAACUGAUGAAAGAAUGAUCAUACCGAGGGAAUUCACUCAGAACUAACAAGAAUGAUAACAUGCUCCGACUGGAGCGGUUUAGGAACUGCUGGAAGGCUCUAGGGGAAUAAAGAUGGAAUGACUUCUAAUUUUUAGGUCCGUAUGAUUUGAAAUACUUGCACACAAACCGCAAGAAAGCGUUCCUGGAAAUCUCAGCACAAAAAAGGACGUUUAGUAAUUCUAAAAGGGACUACAGCAUGAAAAACAAUAGUUCUGGCAGUUAAAGUUUGAGAUUCGAUAAUGCCGUAGAUCCGUUUGGUCAUCAGGUGUAACGAGCCACACCCAUGUCUAGCUAGAGUAGUGUGCUAGGCUCAGACUAGAGAAGAAACGGGGAACAAAAUGAUGAAAGAAUGAUUAUACCGAGGGAAUUCACUCAGAACUAACAAGAAUGAUAACGUGCUCCGACUGGAGCGGUUUAGGAACUGCUGGAAGGCUCUAGGGGAAUAAAGAUGGAAUGACUUCAAAUUUUUAGGUCUGUAUGAUUUGAAAUACUUGCACACAAACCGCAAGAAAGCGUUCCUGGAAAUCUCAGCCCAAAAAUGGACGUUUAGUAAUUCUAAAAGGGACUAUAGGAUGAAAAACAAUAGUUCUGGCAGUUAAAGUUUGAGAUUCGAUAAUGUCGUAGAUCCGUUCGGUCAUCAGGUGUAACGAGCCACACCCAUGUCUAGCUAGAGUAGUGUGCUAGGCUCAGACUAGAGAAGAAACGGGGAACAAACUGAUGAAAGAAUGAUCAUACCGAGGGAAUUCACUCAGAACUAACAAGAAUGAUAACGUGCUCCGACUGGAGCGGUUUAGGAACUGCUGGAAGGCUCUAGGGGAAGAAAGAAGGAAUGACUUCUAAUUUUUAGGUCCGUAUGAUUUGAAAUACGUGCACACAAACCGCGCGAAAGCGUUCCUGGAAAUCUCAGCCCAAAAAAGGACGUUUAGUAUUCUAAAAGGGACUACAGAAUGAAAAACAAUAGUUUUGGCAGUUAAAGUUUGAGAUUCGACGGUGCCGUAGAUCCGUUUGGUCAUCAGGUGUUACGAGCCACACCCAUGUCUAGCUAGAAUAGUGUGCCAGGCUCAGGCUAGAGAAGAAAAGGGGAACAAACUGAUGAAAGAAUGAUCAAACCGAGGGAUUUCACUCAGAACUAACAAUAAUGAUAACGUGCUCCGACUGGAGCGGUUUAGGAACUGCUGGAAGGCUCUAGGCGAAUAAAGAUGGAAUGACUUCUAAUUUUUACGUCCGUAUGAUUUUAAAUACUUGCACACAAACCACGCAAAAGCGUUCCUGGAAAUCUCGGCCUAAAAAGGACGUUUAGUAAUUCUAAAAGGGACUACAGGAUGAAAAAUAAUAGUUUGGGCAGUUAAAAUUUGAGAUUCGACGGUGCCGUAGAUCCGUUUGGUCAUCAGGUGUUACGAGCCACACCCAUGUCUAGCUAGAAUAGUGUGUUAGGCUCAGGCUAGAGAAGAAACAGGGAACAAACUGAUGAAAGAAUGAUCAUACCAAGGGAAUUCACUCAGAACUAACAAGAAUGAUAACGUGCUCCGACUGGAGCAGUUUAGAAACUGCUGGAAGGCUCUAGGGGAAUAAAGAUGGGAUGACUUCAAAUUUUUAGGUCCGUAUGAUUUGAAAUACUUGCACACAAACCGCGCGAAAGCGUUCCUGGAAAUCGCAGCCCAAAAAAGGACGUUUAGUAAUUCUAAAAGGGACUACAUGAUGAAAAACAAUAGUUUUGGCAGUUAAAGUUUGAGAUUCGUCGGUGCCGUAGAUCCGUUUGGUCAUCAGCUGUAACGAGCCACACCCAUGUCUAGCUAGAGUAGUGUGCUAGGCUCAGACUAGAGAAGAAAUGGGGAAAAAAGUGAUGAAAGAAUGAUCAUACCGAGGGAAUUCACUCAGAACUAACAAGAAUGAUAACAUGCUCCGACAUGAGCGAUUUAGGAACUUCUGGAAGGCUCUAGGGGAAUAAAGAUGGAAUGACUCAAAUUUUUAGGUCCGUAUGAUUUGAAAUACUUGCACACAAACCGCGAGAAAGCGUUCCUGGAAAUCUCAGCCCAAAAAAGGACAUUUAGUAAUUCUAAAAGGGACUACAGGAUGAAAAACAAUAGUUUUGGCAGUUAAAGUUUGAGAUUUGAUAAUGCCGUAGAUCCGUUUGGUCAUCAGGUGUAACGAGCCACACCCAUGUCUAGCUAGAGUAGUGUGCUAGGCUAAGACUAGAUAAGAAACCGGGAAGAAACUAAUGAAAGAAUGAUCAGACCGAGGGAAUUCACUCAGAACUAACAAUAAUGAUAACGUGCUCCGACUGGAGCGGUUUAGGAACUGCUGGAAGGCUCUAGGGGAAUAAAGAUGAAAUGACUUCUAAUUUUUAGGUUCGUAUGAUUUGAAAUACAUGCACACAAACCCCGAGAAACCGUUCCUGGAAAUCUCGGCCCAAAAAAGGAUGUUUAGUAAUUCUAAAAGGGACUACAAAAUGAAAAACAAUAGUUUUGGUAGUUAAAGUUUGAGAUUUGAUGGUGCCAUAGAUCUGUUUGGUCAUCAGGUGUUACGAGCCACACCCAUGUCUAGCUAGAAUAGUGUGUUAGGCUCAGGCUAGAAAAGAAACGGGAAACAAAGUGAUGAAAGAAUGAUCAUACCGAGGGAAUUCACUCAGAACUAACAAGAAUGAUAACAUGCUCUGACUGGAGCGGUUUAGGAACUGCUGGAAGGCUCUAGGGGAAUAAAGAUGGAAUGACUUCUAAUGUUUAGGUCCGAGGUCCGUAUGAUUUGAAAUACUUGCACAUAAACCGUGCAAAAGCGUUCCUGGAAAUCUCAGCCCAAAAAAGGACGUUUAGUAAUUCUAAAAGGGACUACAGGAUGAAAAACAAUAGUUUUGGCAGUUAAAGUUUGAGAUUCGACGGUGCCGUAGAUCCGUUCGUUCAUCAGGUGUUACGAGCCACACCCAUGUCUAGCUAGAAUAGUGUGUUAGGCUCAGGCUAGAGAAGAAACGGGGAACAAACUGAUGAAAGAAUGAUCAAACCGAGGGAAUUCACUCAGAACUAACAAUAAUGAUAACGUGCUCCGACUAGAGCGGUUUAGGAACUGCUGGAAGGCUCUAGGGGAAUAAAGAUGGAAUGACUUCUAAUUUUUAGGUCUGUAUGAUUUGAAAUACUUGCACGCAAACCGCGCGAAAGCGUUCCCGGAAAUAUCAGCCCAAAAAAGGACGUUUAGUAAUUCUAAAAGGGACUACAGGAUGAAAAACAAUAGUUUUGGCAGUUAAAGUUUGAGAUUCAACGGUGCCGUAGAUCCGUUUGGUCAUCAGGUGUUACGAGCCACACCCAUGUCUAGCUAGAGUAGUGUGCUAGGCUCAGGCUAGAGAAGAAACAGGGAACAAACUGAUGAAAGAAUGAUCAUACCGAGGGAAUUCACUCAGAACUGAUGAAAGAAUGAUCAAACCGAGGAAAUUCACUCAGAACUAACAAUAAUGAUAACAUGCUCCGACUGGAGCGGUUUAGGAACUGCUGGAAGGCUCUAGGGGAAUAAAGAUGGAAUGACUUCUAAUUUUUAGGUCCGUAUGAUUUGAAAUACGGGCACACAAACCCCGAGAAACCGUUCCUGGAAAUCUCGGCCCGAAAAAGGACGUUUAGUAAUUCUAAAAGGGACUACAAAAUGAAAAACAAUAGUUUUGGCAGUUAAAGUUUGAGAUUCGACGGUGCCGUAGACCCGUUCGGUCAUCAGGUGUAACGAGCCACACCCAUGUCUAGCUAGAGUAGUGUGCUAGGCUCAGACUAGAGAAGAAACGGGGAACAAACUGAUGAAAGAAUGAUCAUACCGAGGGAAUUCACUCAGAACUAACAAGAAUGAUAACGUGCUCCGACUGGAGCGGUUUAGGAACUGCUAGAAGGCUCUAGGGGAAGAAAGAAGGAAUGACUUCUAAUUUUUAGGUCUGUAUGAUUUGAAAUACGUGCACACAAACCGCGCGAAAGCGUUCCUGGAAAUCUCAGCCCAAAAAAGGACGUUUAGUAUUCUAAAAGGGACUACAGAAUGAAAAACAAUAGUUUUAGCAGUUAAAGUUUGAGAUUCGACGGUGCCGUAGAUCCGUCUGGUCAUCAGGUGUUACGAGCCACACCCAUGUCUAGCUAGAAUAGUGUGCUAGGCUCAGGCUAGAGAAGAAAAGGGGAACAAACUGAUGAAAGAAUGAUCAAACCGAGGGAAUUCACUCAGAACUAACAAUAAUGAUAACGUGCUCCGACUGGAGCGGUUUAGGAACUGCUGGAAGGCUCUAGGCGAAUAAAGAUGGAAUGACUUCUAAUUUUUACGUCCGUAUGAUUUGAAAUACUUGCACACAAACCACGCAAAAGCGUUCCUGGAAAUCUCGGCCUAAAAAGGACGUUUAGUAAUUCUAAAAGGGACUACAGGAUGAAAAAUAAUAGUUUGGGCAGUUAAAAUUUGAGAUUCGACGGUGCCGUAGAUCCGUUUGGUCAUCAGGUGUUACGAGCCACACCCAUCUCUAGCUAGAAUAGUGUGUUAGGCUCAGGCUAGAGAAGAAACGGGGAACAAACUGAUGAAAGAAUGAUCAUACCAAGGGAAUUCACUCAGAACUAACAAGAAUGAUAACGUGCUCCGACUGGAGCAGUUUAGAAACUCCUGGAAGGCUCUAGGGGAGUAAAGAUGGAAUGACUUCAAAUUUUUAGGUCCGUAUGAUUUGAAAUACUUGCACACAAACCGCGCGAAAGCGUUCCUGGAAAUCUCAGCCCAAAAAAGGACGUUUAGUAAUUCUAAAAGGGACUACAUGAUGAAAAACAAUAGUUUUGGCAGUUAAAGUUUGAGAUUCGUCGGUGCCGUAGAUCCGUUUGGUCAUCAGCUGUAACGAGCCACACCCAUGUCUAGCUAGAGUAGUGUGCUAGGCUCAGACUAGAGAAGAAAUGGGGAACAAAGUGAUGAAAGAAUGAUCAUACCGAGGGAAUUCACUCAGAACUAACAAGAAUGAUAACAUGCUCCGACUUGAGCGAUUUAGGAACUUCUGGAAGGCUCUAGGGGAAUAAAGAUGGAAUGACUCAAAUUUUUAGGUCCGUAUGAUUUGAAAUACUUGCACACAAACCGCGAGAAAGCGUUCCUGGAAAUCUCAGCCCAAAAAAGGACGUUUAGUAAUUCUAAAAGGGACUACAGGAUGAAAAACAAUAGUUUUGGCAGUUAAAGUUUGAGAUUCGAUAAUGUCGUAGAUCCGUUUGGUCAUCAGGUGUAACGAGCCACACCCAUGCCUAGCUAGAGUAGUGUGCUAGGCUAAGACUAGAUAAGAAACGGGGAAGAAACUGAUGAAAGAAUGAUCAGACCGAGGGAAUUCACUCAGAACUAACAAUAAUGAUAACGUGCUCCGACUGGAGCGGUUUAGGAACUGCUAGAAGGCUCUAGGGGAAUAAAGAUGGAAUGACUUCUAAUUUUUAGGUCCGUAUGAUUUGAAAUACGUGCACACAAACCCCGAGAAACCGUUCCUGGAAAUCUCGGCCCAAAAAAGUAUGUUUAGUAAUUCUAAAAGGGACUACAAAAUGAAAAACAAUAGUUUUGGCAGUUAAAGUUUGAGAUUUGAUGGUGCCGUAGAUCUGUUAGGUCAUCAGGUGUUACGAGCCACACCCAUGUCUAGCUAGAAUAGUGUGUUAGGCUCAGGCUAGAAAAGAAACGGGAAACAAAGUGAUGAAAGAAUGAUCAUACCGAGGGAAUUCACUCAGAACUAACAAGAAUGAUAACAUGCUCUGACUGGAGCGGUUUAGGAACUGCUGGAAGGCUCUAGGGGAAUAAAGAUGGAAUGACUUCUAAUGUUUAGGUCCGUAUGAUUUGAAAUACUUGCACAUAAACCGCGCAAAAGCGUUCCUGGAAAUCUCAGCCCAAAAAGGACGUUUAGUAAUUCUAGAAGGGACUACAGGAUGAAAAACAAUAGUUUUGGCAGUUAAAGUUUGAGAUUCGACGGUGCCGUAGAUCCGUUUGUUCAUCAGGUGUUACGAGCCACACCCAUGUCUAGCUAGAAUAGUGUGUUAGGCUCAGGCUAGAGAAGAAACGGGGAACAAACUGAUGAAAGAAUGAUCAAACCGAGGGAAUUCACUCAGAACUAACAAUAAUGAUAACGUGCUCCGACUAGAGCGGUUUAGGAACUGCUGGAAGGCUCUAGGGGAAUAAAGAUGGAAUGACUUCUAAUUUUUAGGUCUGUAUGAUUUGAAAUACUUGCACGCAAACCGCGCGAAAGCAUUCCCGGAAAUAUCAGCCCAAAAAAGGACGUUUAGUAAUUCUAAAAGGGACUACAGGAUGAAAAAGAAUAGUUUUGGCAGUUAAAGUUUGAGAUUCAACGGUGCCGUAGAUCCGUUUGGUCAUCAGGUGUUACAAGCCACACCCAUGUCUAGCUAGAGUAGUGUGCUAGGCUCAGGCUAGAGAAGAAACAGGGAUAAAACUGAUGAAAGAAUGAUCAUACCGAGGGAAUUCACUCAGAACUGAUGAAAGAAUGAUCAAUCCGAGGGAAUUCACUCAGAACUAACAAUAAUGAUAACGUGCUCCGAUUGGAGCGGUUUAGGAACUGCUGGAAGGCUCUAGGGGAAUAAAGAUGGAAUGACUUCUAAUUUUUAGGUCCGUAUGAUUUGAAAUACUUGCACACAAACCGCAAGAAAGCGUUCCUAGAAAUCUCAGCCCAAAAAAGGACGUUUAGUAAUUCUAAAAGGGACUACAGGAUGAAAAACAAUAGUUUUGGCAGUUAAAGUUUGAGAUUCGAUGGUGCCCUAGAUCCGUUUGGUCAUCAGGUGUUACGAGCCACACCCAUGUCUAGCUAGAAUAGUGUGUUAGGCUCAGGCUAGAGAAGAAACGGGGAACAAACUGAUGAAAGAAUGAUCAUACGGAGGGAAUUCACUCAGAACUAAGAAGAAUGAUAACGUGCUCCGACUGGAGCGGUUUAGGAACUGGUGGAAGUCUCUAGGGGAAUAAAGAUGGAAUGACUUCUAAUUUUUAGGUCUGUAUGAUUUGAAAUACUUGCGCACAAACCGCGCGAAAGCGUUCCUGGAAAUAUCAGCCUAAAAAAGGAUGUUUAGUAAUUCUAAAAGGGACUACAGGAUGAAAAACAAUAGUUUUGGAAGUUAAAGUUUGAGAUUCGACAGUGUCGUAGAUCCGUUUGGUCAUCAGGUGUUACGAGCCACACCCACGUCUAGCUAGAGUAGUGUGUUAGGCUCAGGCUAGAGAUUAAACGGGGAACAAACUGAUGAAAGAAUGAUCAAACCGAGGGAAUUCACUCACAAUAAAGAUGGAACUUCUUUCUUCCCCUAGAGCCUUCCAGCAGUUCCUAAACCGCUCCAGUCGGAGCACGUUAUCAUUCUUGUUAGUUCUGAGUGAAUUCCCUCGGUAUGAUCAUUCUUUCAUCAGUUUGUUCCCCGUUUCUUCUCUAGUCUGAGCCUAGCACACUACUCUAGCUAGACAUGGGUGUGGCUCGUUACACCUGAUGACCAAACGGAUCUACGACAUUAUCGAAUCUCAAACUUUAACUGCCAGAACUAUUGUUUUCCAUCCUGUAGUCCCUUUUAGAAUUACUAAACGUCCUUUUUUGGGCUGAGAUUUCCAGGAACGCUUUCUUGCGGUUUGUGUGCAAGUAUUUCAAAUCAUACGGACCUAAAAAUUAGAAGUCAUUCCAUCUUUAUUCCCCUAGAGCCUUCC
rnacentral:lncRNA from 1 species